rnacentral:lncRNA from 1 species
AAAAAAAAAAAUAUAACGAACCUUCCGCAUUUCCCGCAACUCUGAAAACCAAAUACAACACCAAAAUCAACCAUGAACAAACGGAGAUGAAUCGCUCCAUCAAUUUUUUUCCACUUUUGAUUUGAAGAGUUAAAUCCCCAAAAUCGUCAUCAAUCUUCCACUUUGACGAAUCGUUGACCCAUCAAUUCGGUCUAAAACGGGCAUCCGAAAUCACACACAUAUUGGUCGUUGACCGAGUCAAGGAGCAAAAAAACAAAACGAAAACAAACAAUAAACUUCGAAAAGACUCUUCUCUGAAUAAAAAAGCCAAGUGUAAAAGGAAAAAAAAGAUCGUUCCAUCAAAGAUUCCAGAAAAUUCUUGGCUGUCUUUUUUUCUCUCUCUUUGUCUGACAUAACAAAAUUAUCUUCUUCUUUUUUUUAUUUUCUCUCUGAAUUUUGGAGGAAAUUGGAGAGAGAGAUUGUGUUUGGUAAGGGGCAAAGAAGGAAAAAGAAGGGAAGGGAGGAAUGUGAGGGGUUUUCUGUUUUUGGGGUAGAGUUUUUUCAACUACGAAAAUGCUAGAUUAGAACAGAGUUUUUUUUUUUUUUUUUUUUUUUCUCUUUCUUUCUGGAAUUUUAUUUUUAUUUAUCAAUUUUAUUGUUAAAUUUACAUAAUUAAAAAAAUAACAAAUGAGAGAUAAAAAAAUAAAUGAAGGUAAUACGUGAAUAUUUUAAUUGAUUUUAUUUUUUUAUAAAAUUUAUUUAAUUAAAAAAAAGUACAAAAACAAAAAAAAAUAAAAAAUAAUAAAAGUUUAUAAAUGGUGCCAGAACAUUAUAAUUUAAAAUAUAUAUAAUAAUAAUAUACAUAUAUAUAUAUAUAUAUAUACACAUAAAAAUAAUUGAGAAAAAGUAUACUAACACGUUUCCAUGAUCUCGUUUUUUUUCAAAAAAAGAAAAACCUAAAUUUCGUCUCAACUCGGUUUUUGAUUAAAAAGAUUAUUCUUUUAUCGGGUUAAAAUAAAUCAAAAUUUAUUGAAUUAGAAUUAUUUUAGUGUAUUCUUCGAAGAACAUAUUUUUUUAAAAAUUUAUUUAAUUAAAAAUUGAAUGUCCCACAUAACCAUUUCUAUUGCCCUCUUUUUUUUUUCAUAAAAUUAAUUUAACUUAAAAAAUCAUAAAAACAAAAGAAAAACGUAAAAGAAAAAAUAAAAAAAAGUAAAAAAUAAAAAUAAAAAAUGAAAAUAAAAUAAAACUCACUGGGUUAGAACAUGACAUUUUAUUUAAGUUUAAAAUGUUAAUAUAUUAAAUUAAGAUAUUAAAAAUUAAUCCAAUUAAUUAAAAAUAAAAAAAUUUAGGAAAAAAGAAACAAACAAAUAAAAGAGAAAAAAUCAAAAGAAAUAAAAAAAAUAGAGAUUAUCAUACUGUUGUAUAAACAUCCAAAUCGAGCUAAAAAUAUUAAUAUCUUAAAGUAAGAUAUAAAAUAAUAACUUAAUUAAUAAAAUACAUACAUAUAAAUAUAAAAUUAAAUAGAUAAUGAAAUAUAGAUAAAAAAUAUUUUUUUAAUCAAUAAUAUCAAAUGAAAAUCACUAAAAAAUUUCAUAAUAUUAAAAAAUAUUUAUCAAAUAUUAAAAAAAUAAAUAAAUGACUUAACACAUGAUAUAUUUUAAGAAUCAAGUGAGUCAUACAAAAAAUUUUAAAAUCAUUAAAAUAUUUAUUAAAUAUAUAAAAAUAAUAAAAAAAUGUAAAAAAGUAAAAAAAAAAAACAAAUACAUGAUAUAACUUUCAUAUCAUGUGAGUUCAUAAAAAAAUUUAAAAUCUAAAAAAAUAUUUAUAAAAAUGUAAAAAAAAAAAAAACAAAAGAAAAAAAGGUAAAAAAGAAAAAUUAGGAUAAAGCAAGUCCCACUUUUAAAACUUUAAACGUAAUUUUCAUAGAUGUUAUAACGAUUAAACACAAGUCUUUAAUUGAAAAAAAAAAUAAAGAUAUUACAAAAUAAACCUAUCAUUUAUACUGUUCUAUUAUUUCUACCAGAACAGUAGAAACAUUUCUUCCUGGCAGCCUGACUAGAACAGUAGUGAAGAGAUAUUCUUCCCAUAUCUACUGAUCCAUAUAAUAUAAACUGCAGUAAAAGGUGUUAGAUAUACAAGGAAAGCAAAAUGAGCAAUGGAAAUGCAGUAUAAAAACACAAUGAACAACAAGAACGCUCCAUAUUUAAGACUUCUUAUUGUUUUUCCUUUGGGUGCCUAAUUCUCCGUAUCGAAACUGUUAGAACUAAUUCAAGCUCACGAAGUCACUGAUUUACGCUUAAAACUAAAAUUAAAGCUGAAACCCAUUGAACCCAAAUUGUUGGGGUUAUUACCGAUAAUAGAGCCUCGUCAGAGUUGCAUUUGGUGGUGGCUGAAGCUGGUCUGGUUCUGGUUGCCCAUGCGUGGAGAGGAGGCUGCACUGUUUGAGAGAGGAACUACACUCUUCCCUCACAAACUGAAGUUAGUAAUGUUCAAUGUACUAGCAUUACAUACAUGGAGAGGAUGAGUGUAGGGACCCUCUCAUUUACUUGCAAUGUCCCAUCCCAUUAUGGGAUCUAUACAAGAACAACAACAUAUCACAUUUAAUUAAUAUAACACCACUAUAAUUAUUCAUAAUUUAACGUUAAUUAACCUCUGAAUUAAUUGACUUUAUUUGUCUAUAAUAUAAAAUAAAAUAAAUGCAACAAUCUCUCACAACACAAGCCAAAUUUGAAUAUUUUGAAAAUAUAGCAUAACUUAUAUAUACAAAGUUGUACAUUUAAAAUCCAAAUUCGGAUACACAAAAUGAUUGUAAUCAAAAUUGUCAAAUACCAAUAAAUAGUUGAAUCAUCAUAUAACAAAAUGAACAUUUAUAAAUAUCAAAAUACAUUAUACCAAUAUAGUUCAAAUGUAUGGACUUAUAUGCCCAUUACAAUCACAAGUAUUUAUAAGUCUCAAAAUGUAUUAUAUUAAUAGGAAACAUAUAUAUAGAUUUGUCUAUACUUUACCAACAGUAGUAAGUAUUUAUGAGCCCUUAAAAUACUGGGGAUUCAACUAUGAUUACUAGUAGAAACAAACCUUGAAUUUUCAUCUUGAGUGUUAGGCUAAUAAAAAUACCAUGAACUUAAUAAAACCAAUGAUAGGGAGAUCAAAAGUUGUACAUACCACACUUAUGAUGAUUUAUUAUUAAUUUAUUGAUGAUUUAAUAAAAAAUUAUCAAUGAUUAAUUAAUUUAUUAUUAAAUUAUCACUUAUUUACAAUUAACUUAUUAGUAAUUAUUACUAUGUUAUUAGUGAGUUAUUAUUAAGUUAUCAAUUUAUUAUUAAAUUAUUAAUAAUUUACUAUUAUAUUAUUAUGUAUUUACUACUAUAUUAUCAUUGAUUUACUGCUUGCUUUUCUAUUAUUUAUCACAAAAUUAUUAUAGAUUUUAUUACUAAAUUAUUUAUGAUUCACUAUCAAGUUAUUACUGAAUUAUAUUAAAUUAUCUAUGAUUUAAUAUUAAGUUAUAACUGAUUAACUAUUAAGUUAUCGAUAAUUUACUAUUAAGUUAUAUUAAUUUACUUUUAAUUUUUAAUAAUUAAGUAUUAAAUUAUCAAUUAUUUAUUACUAUGUUAUCAUUGAUUUACCCAUAAAUUAUUUAUGUUUUACUAUGUACUAUCAAUUAAUUAGUAUUAAACAUAAACAUAUUUACUAUUAAAUUAUCAGUAAUUUAUUAUUAAAUUAUCAUUAAUUUAUCAUUAAGUUAUCAAUAAUAAACUACCAAGUUAUCAUAUAUUUUAUAAUAGGUUAUCAUUGAUUUAUUGCUAUAUUGUUUUACAGUUACAACUAUAUUAUAAUUGAUUUGCUACUAAAUUAUUAUUCAUUUAUUAUUACGUUAUUACCGAUUUACUAUAAAUUAUCAAUUAUUAACUUCUAAAUUAUCAUGUAUUUACUAUUAAGCUAUCACUAAUCUACUAUUUAGUUAUUUUUAUUUAGUAUUAAAUUAUUACCUAUAACAUUAAGUAUUGAUAAUAUUACUAAGUUAAUAUUUGUUACUUUUAAAUUUUUAAUGAUUAAUUACUAAAUUAUCAAUUAUUACUACAUAUAUAUCAUUGAUUUGCUAUGAUCAAGGAAAGAAAAAUCAUAAUAUAUGUUAGAUGAUAUAUUUAUAAGAUACAGAAAAAAUAAGAAAAAAGGUUUAAGUAUGGAUGCCCUCGAAAAGUAACGAGUAAAUCAUCUUAUUUGUUAUCCGGUAGUUUAACCACGUAAUAAUAAGUUAAAAUCAUAACUUUUUAUGCUAAUAAAAUAUCAAACUAUAAUUAAUUAAAUAUAUACAAUAUAAUUAAAUCAAUAUUUUAAAGAUAUACCUAAAAAAUUUUUAGUUCAUGAUACAAUAGUAUAUAUUAAAAUAAGUUAAUGAAUAUUUAAUUGAAUUAUUAAUGUAUGUAUUUUCAUAAUGUUAGUUGAAGUAUAAUUGCAUAUAAAAUAUUAAAAAAAUUGAAGUGUUAUACAACAAAAAAAGUAAUAAACUUUAUUUUAUAUUCCUAUAUUUAAGUAUAUAAUAUUGAAUAAAAAUAUAAUUAUUUAUAAGAUCAAAGUAAUGGAAAAUUUUACUAAAUAAAAUUUAUUAAAAAUAGACAAUGAAUUUUAAAAAAUUAAAUUCACAAUAAUUACUUUUGUAUUUUCCUUCCCAAUUUUCUUCUACUAAAUGAAAAAAAUGAUAUAUUUCUAAUUGUUGCGUUAUUUUUAAGACCAUCAUUCAAAAUUAUUUUUUUGAUAUUUUGAUACCAACAAACUUUUUUACUUGAAAAGAGUAAAAAAUAUUGUAAGGUAUCAUAACAAUCAAAAUAAUAUUUAACUAUAUGUUGUAUUAUUAAAUGAGUAUAAACAAUGAUAUCUAUUUCAAAUGAAAUAUUUGAAUUGUUUUCUUUAACUCGUUUAGCAAUAACUUAAUCAACAAAUGAACGAUUAUAAACUUAAUUAUCCAAAUUAAUAUUUAUGCAAUAUGAAUUUUAAAAUCUUUAAAAGAAGAUACAUCUUUUAAUCUUUACAAUACUUGAGAAUAAAGAUUUUCUUUUAAAAUUAUCAUUAUUAUAUCCAUAACUUUUGUUCUUAAAUUUUCACUAUAUUAUGUUCUCAUUUUACUUUAAAAUUUAUUAUCGGUGUCAAAAAGCAUACAUAAAAAUAAUAUGAUUAAUUAACUCAAACUUAAACGAUUCAAAACUUAAAUUGAGUAUACAAUUUUUUUAAUAUUUUAAAUUUUAAUAUAAUUAAACAUUAAUAUAAUACACAGAAUUAUAAAAAUAAACUAACUUAAUUUUAUUUCAAUUAAUUUUACAAAGUCAACAAUUUAAAAGUUAUUUAAAACCCAAAAUAAUUUAAUAUAUUCAUAAAUCAAAUUGAAUAAUCACUCAAACAUAAUGCAAUAUUUCUAAUUAAUUUUUUGUAACAAUUUAAAAGUUUUGUAUUUAAGUUUAUUUUUUUCUUUCAUUUUCAAUGUCUUAUUUUUAUUAUCUUUGUGGUUGAAUUAGUUAAUUAAUCUUUAAGAAUAUUUCUAAAGUGAAAUUGUAAUUAUAAGUAACUGAUUAUAUUUUUUUUAUUUAGAUUUAAUAUGAUUUUGAAUCUAGUUUUUAAAACAGAAAAAUAUGCACUAAUUAUUAAGUUAAAUUUGUUGAUAUGCAUAUGUGAAUAACUGAGUAUACAAUAAUAUAAGUAGAUAAUAAAACUUAAUUCAACCUAAUUUAUCGUUGAUCUUAAAUUUAAAAUUCUACUAAAGAUUAUGAAAAGUCAAAAUUUAAAAUAAUUGAAAUACUAGAUACACAAUUAAAUAACAAUUUAUAAAAUGAAUUUCUUUAAUGAAUACUUUUAACUUUUAAGUUUAGUUAAAUUAUAAUUUAUAAUAAUAUUUUUAUAUUAAAUGUAAUAGUAAUAAUUAAUUUAAUGAAUUUUAAUGCUUUUAAACAAAUAUCACCUAAUAUGGUAACCUUAAUUUCUCAACUAAUAUAAUGAAGAAAAUAAAUGAGUAUACAAUAUUUUUCCUAAUAAAAAAGUUUCUACUAAUCCUAAAAAAAAUUGAAAUCAAUAUAUUUGUAUAUUCUUAAUUGAAAUACCAAAAACACUAACUUUGUUUGUAAUGUGGAGAAAAUAGAACUAUUCAUAAUCAAUUAAUUUUCCGUCUUAUUUUUUUUUUUUUGGUUUAAGAUAAUUUUUCAUUGGUAUUAUAUCUAUUGAAUGUAAUUGUACGUUCUAGUACAUUAAAAUUUAAAAUAAAUAAUUUUAAAAAAUAAAAUGAAAUAAAUUCCUAACCUUGGUACUUGUUAUGUUUUUUUUUUCUUAAAAUUUUUUUAAUUCUUACAAUAACAACUUGUUAUAUAGCACCUAUACAAUUUAUAAUGAUUUUAUUUUCAGCAGUGACAACAUAAAUUUUUAUAAAUGAAUGUAACUUUGGCAUGAAUACGUUUAAAAAAUGAUUUUAAUGAAUUUUGUCACACCUUGAAAUAAUUUUACAAAAAAUAAUUAAUUUUACUUCAUUUGAUAAUUUUUUACAAAAUAAUUCAUAUUAGGUCGUUCAACCAUUUAGAUGACCAAAAAGCAAACAGUUUAAUACAACUUACAAAGAUUAAAUCAUCUUGAAAUAGAAAUUAAUGGAGGUGAAUAAUUAUUAUGACAAUUUUGUCUUGAGCAAGUAAUACCUCUACCACUUCUUGAAUUGUCUAAUUCUAUAUGUGGGACGUCCAACUGAAGUGUUUCAAAAAUCAUUUAGUGUUAAUUGUUGGUGUAGAGUGUGCAAUUAAUUUACAUUUGAUUUUAUAUUAGUUUUUGUUUAUAAUAAUAACAAUUAUAAAUUCUAGAGAAAAAAAUACAAAAGAGAAUUUAAUUAUAGAGGUUAGACUAAAUUAUAAAAAUGAUAUAUAUUAAAAAAUUAUUUCAAAUGAACUAAAAGGAUUCAAUUAUAUUAUAAUGAUCAACUCAUAAAAUAUAUAAAUAAUAAAAUCAUUAAUAUACAUAUAUGAUUCAAUGAAUUAUGACUUUUUUUAAUGAAUUUAUUUAUCAACAUAAGCUUCAUGUGCAAUUGUUUUUAUAACAAUAAAUAAACGAACUCCAUAUAAUUGUCUUAAUAUGUAUCUAAUUAUUCAAAAAAGGUCUAAUAGUAAAAAAUUUAUUUAAUUAAAAUUUAUAAAAAAUUUACCAAUGAUAUUUUAAUUAAUCACUUUUAAUAUCUUUUUGACUUAAAAUUUUAUUAAGGGUAUUUUUGUUUAUCACUUUUAGCACUUUUUAAGUUUAAUUAUAAAAAGGAGUUUAAUAAUUAAAAAAUUUUCAUUUAAAUUAAAAUUUAUAAAAAAAUUUACUAUAGGUAUUUAAAAUUUAAAUAAAAAUUUUAAGUAAUUUAAUAUCACAUAGACUCUAUUUUUAAUUUUAAUUGAUUAAAUUAAACUUAAAUAUGUUUAAUGAUAAAUUUAUUAAUUUAAAAAUUAAAAAAAUAUUUAAAUCAAUCACUUUUAAUAUUUUAAAAUUUACUUUUUUACGUAUAAAAAGAUAGAUAAUCGUGAUAUAUAAUUAUUAUCUGAAAAUAAUAAAUUUUAUGUCAAUAUAAUAUAUUUUUCACUGAAACAAAGUUUAAAUGUUAUAAAGUUUAAAUAUUUUUUUGGCCAUCGAGUUAAUUUUAAAAUUUUGUACAACAUACAACUACAUAUUCAAUAUAAUUAUUCUUUAUAAAUAAAUAUUCAAGUGCAACUUAUGCGGCGACCACAAUCCUCGCUUACUGAUAAAAAAACCAAAAAGGAAAAGGCCUUUAUCCCUCACAAUGGGCCUUUUGGUAAAUGUCGAAUCUUGUUCUUUUUGAAAAUUAGCUGUAAUUCAGGAAAUGAUGGAAAAUAAUUUACUGUGGUAUGUAAAUUACAAAAACAGGAUAAACGGGGCCAAAAAAGAAACCAAAAUGAAAAACUAUAUGCGCAAAUGUGAACAAUGCGAAUCUAAAAUACAAAACCAACUCUGCCUGAAGACCUUCUAUUUGCAGAAGUGGUCAUCUAGGACCAGACAAUUCAUCUGGAGAGAUGUGAGAUGUGGAGUCUGCAAUUAUCCAAUUAGCAUUCAGGUGGUGGGUAUGGUUAAACUCUUGGCUGAACGUUUCUUCCUCCUCCCACUCUUCCCAUCUUUCAGCCAAGCCGUCCAAGCCGUUAUGGUUAAGCUCUUGGCCAAACAAUUCUUUCUGCCACUCUUCCCAUCUUUCGACCAAGCCAUCACCCUCCAGCAUCAUGAUGACUUCAGACAUCUUAGGUCGUUUCAUUGGGAAGCCUUGAGUGCACAAAAGAGCCACCUGGAUUAGCUGUUCCACUUCUUCAACUAUGUAAUUAUCCUCAAGAUCCAAAUCAACCAGCCUUUCCAACCUCCUGUCUUUCACAAGCCAUUUUACCUGAAAUUUCAGGAUUGCUGUCAACUUGAAGGGGAAAAAAAAGAAACAGAAACCAUUUGUACCGUCGAUAAGCUUUACUUGAAUUUGACAUAAUUGCGGUUGACAAAGAUGUGAGUCUCAAUGGCAUAAAAAAAAAAAAAAUUGCAACAAAGAUCAAUGUCAAGAAUGUAGUAGUUAAUUACAUAGGCUUCCAAAAACCAUUUGUUUUAAACCAACUUCAUUUAAAAACAAGCAUACCCAAAAUUAGUGAACAAAAAGGAUCUUAGGAACCCCCACGUCUCUUGACUGCUAGCAACUUCAAGAAAAGAAAAGAUAGCAUCACCCAACAACUACUUUAUAUUUUCUUUUUCCCUCUUCACCUUGUAGAGAAAACAUUUUCAAGUUUCAACUAUUUCUACUUUUCUGCUUUUGCAUUUUCACCUUGCAAGGAAAAUAAAAUAGAGCUUCACUGUGUUAUAAGGGUAGUUCUGCUAUACUGUACUUUUUAUCUAUUGCUUUUGGCCAACCAAGUGAAACAAGAAAUGAAUAAUUCCAACACUAGACAAGAAUGACAAAAGUCAAACUGUGAAAUGCACCACGAUUGAGACACAUGUAAUAGGAAAAACAGUACAUACCCAGUCAAGCAACAUGACAUCAUCAUCAUUUGCAAGCCGAGCAAGAUUGAAAGCCUUCUGUCAUGUAAUGAGUUCAAGAAGCAUAACACCAUACCCAAAAACAUCAGUUUUCUCUGAUGACUUUCCAGUUGAUAGGUAUUCAGGAGCUAUAUGACCAAUUGUGCUACGAACAGCAGUUGUCACAUGAGUAUCUUUAUAGUCCAUCAGUUUGGCCAGCCCAAAGUCUCGAACUACUGCUUCAAAUUCCUCAUCCAACAAUAUAUUUGCAGCCUUCACAUCACGGUGUAUAAUCUUAGGAUCACAAUGAUCAUGCCAAUAUGCAAGCCCCCUUGCAGCUCCCAGCGCAAUCUGUUUCCUUGUAGCCCAAUCAAGUGGUGAUUGAGACUCCGGACGCUCUAGAGAAUGUAAAAAUCAGAUGAAUAGAUGGUCCAUUGUAACAAGAAGAGAUCACAAAGUAUUUGGAUUCCAUGAAUUUCUCAAAAUUCCACUUGGAUUCAAAGACAAUCCACAUUUACCAAAUGUAUGAAAUUAUCAAAAGAAAGUCCAAAUGUUUUGGAACAAGAUUAGGAUAUGUGACCGGUAGUUCAAAAUUUCUUCUCAAACUGCAGAAACUAUAGAGCAGAAAUUGAUAUAUGAAGCUCACACAAGAAUAAAUAGUUUACAUCUGAAAUGAAUUGGUAACCAGAAGAAAAUAUAUAAAAUAAAUAACACACAUAAUAUAAAUGCAAUGCAUAAACAGGAAACAUGACUAAAGAAAUAAUUAAGGAAACAGCAGCCGGUACCUCUUAAACAGGAUGCAACACCACCAUUAACCAUAAAAGGAUAGACUUGCAGAUGUUCUGUAGGGGUCAUGCAAAAGCCACGGAGACGCAGCAAAUUCCGAUGCACAGCCAUACUUAUCAUUUCUACCUCUGUUUGGAACUGCAACUCUCCAGCUUUAGUCUUUUUAAGUCUUUUUACUGCCACUAGAGAACCAUCAGCCAAGCGACCUGUAUAAACUUUACCAAAACCACCUCUACCCAGAAUGUUUUUGUUGCUAAAGUUAUCUGUUGCCACUUGUAGUUCAUGCAAAGAAAACCUUUGAAGUUUUCCCAAAUGAACUUCUAGGACCUCCUCAACCAUAAAGAAAAUUAGAAAAGUGAAGACAUGCAUACGACGGCAUGGUAUCAAUUAAAACUAUCUUUUGAAAAAUCACUAACCAGGUACAUUAAAGAAAUGAUCCUGUGGUUUCCUUCUACGCCUCCAAGCAAGUAAAAUUGCAGGAGCAGCAAAAAACAGCGUAGCUCCAGCAGCAACUCCAGCAAUAGCACCACUGGCACUAUUAACUGCCAGUAUAAGUUAGAUAAAAUAUAGAUACUGCCAAGACACCUGUAACGCGAAUACUCAUAACUAUUACUAGCAUUUUCGGCUGGUAACAACACCAAUCCAGGAGGCAACAUUUCAACUGAGAGAACUUCUGGGCUGGGGGUAUUAGAGGUGGAGCUCAUGUUCUAGCCCACUAAGGAACAUAAAGCCGUUCCUAGGUACAUCAUCAGAUUUUAGAUCUGAACUCAAAGGUAAAUUCUUAAAAAUUAGACCCAGAUGUAAGGAAGUUCAGGAUGUUAUAUACUCAACCUACAGCGAUUCUUAGUAUGUUACAGAAACAUGGUAAUACCAAAACAGUUGUUAAUGCAAAGGAGAAUUCCAAGGAAUACCUCAAGAAAAAGAAUAAAUACUAAUAAAAGAGAAGCAGACCCCGAAGUUAGGCACAGUUUAGAGUUAUUAGCAGUGAUAAUAAUAAUAAAAUCAAGAAAAAACCUGAUGGAGUUGAAGCUGUAGGUGAGAUAGGAGGUGUUGGAGCAGGUGGAAGAUUAUUCAGUCGAUUAUUAGCAAAACUGUGAAAAAAAGAUGCAGCAAUUUAAGAGACUGGCCUGAGAGUAUUAAAUAUAAAAAAAUGGGAAAAAGCAGUGGUGAUGAGGGUCAGGAGUCAGGGGUGAUAGGGUGAGAGCAGAGCAAAAUGAGAUAGCAUAGGAUAGGAGUUAAUGCUGAAAAGGAACCAUUAACUGGAAUAUCACCUACUAGCUGAUUGUUUGAAAGAUCCCUGCAUCACAUAAUAUAACAUCUCACACAAUUAAUACGUUGUUCUAGAAGUUAAGGUUGAACUGGCUAAUGCGAAAAACAAAAAAAAUCAGACGGCACCACUCACAGCACUUGCAGUGACUUAACAGUAGUUAAGGUCCUAGGAAUUUGUCCAGACAAUUUGUUGUUGUUGAGACGCCUAUUCCACAGAAAGAAAGCAUUAAUUAUAUUGCAUAUUGAUGAGAUGACUAGAAAUGUAACGGAUAAAAACUCAUGCUUAGUGAAUAACAUUAGCACGGAUAUAAUUAAAAGAAAAAGUCUAUGGCACUAAAGAAACCACUUUUGUAUCUAUAUAGCCCAUAUCACCCAAGCAUAACUGGCCCGACAACUUUUUAACCCAAACCAUGUGGCCCCCAAAAGAUUAAGCUCCAGAGCUAAUAAUAAUUGACUUGGAUCCUUAUAUGGGUUUUAACAAUGACGCUCACAUCAGAUGUAGGAUUGGUAUCACAGCCCAACCACUCAAGUUCUUGAUGUCCACGUCAAGGCAACAUAUCACGAUCACAAUUAACACCCACCCCACAAUGCCAAGAUCUCACUAGCGCAAAAUGAGAGCCCACAACGGGCUAGUUUCUGUGAGUUAUGAUCCACUGUGAGCCAGAAUGUCAUGGUUUUAUCCACAAAAGGCAUAUCACAAGCGAAGGUAUAAGUCUCACGUCUACCUAAGGAGGGAUUUGGGGGAUUACAAUGUCAUCACCAAGAAUUCACUCAGUUUAAUGUUUUCCUCCCGUUGGUUGUUACAGUUGAUGUCCAAGCAAGAUCAUGAAUAAAGAAGAGAAGACAGGAAUACAGUACAGAACUUCGGAGUUAACACCAACAACCACAGUGGAAGGGAUUUUGUAUUUUGGAUCUUAGCUAGUCUUUGGUAACAUGAUGGUCCAUUUGUAAGUUUGUUAGAUAAAAGUUAUCCUUUCUGGAAGCUCACAACUAAACCAAUGGGUUUUUCAGCAAUUAAAAAGUCCUCUCAGUUCAGGGAAAGUGUCAUUGGUAGUUUUAGGUUUUUAUUCCUGACCUAAUAGGUUUAGCAGUCCUAAUCCAAUUAUGUUUAGCUAAGCCUAUGCAAAUAUUAUUAUCUCCUUUUUUUUUAAAAUUUAGUAGACUUCUAGAAUGAUGCAUACUGAUAAAUUCUUGGAGGGCUCUAAAGUUAUGAAAUUAAGAUUCCAUUGGAUUGAUAUUUUUGCUAUUUGCUUUUUAUUUUUUAAAAAUCUCUAAGCAAAAGCAAAACAGAAAACGCAAUAUCAUAAUAGAUUUUAAAUGGACAAAAUAGCUUAAAAUGUGAAACCAAUUAUAAUAUAAUUGGUCUAUAUAGAAGUAGGGUCAUGCAUUUUAUCAUCUAAAAUAUCUAUAUAUUUUGUCUGCACUCUACAAUCCUUCAAAUUUUUAAUCGCUUUUGCAUCUAAAUGCGCUUUUUGUUUUUAAAAGCAAAUAGCAAAAAAGCUAACUAAACGGGGCCUAAAUAAUUCCUUCGUCUUCUCUGUAUUGCUAAAAUGUUCUGAGUUGGGGGAAGGGUUGAAAGACAUGAAUUAAAUUUCAGUAUCCCAAUAGGUUUACCUCCUAUCCACUCUGUCCUAUAAAAACCUACUAAAAGAACAUUCUGCAUGCGUAGGAAGAGAAGAGGAAAUACAUAACAUAACAUAUUAUAAAGCAUAUACAUUUCUAAUAGUAAAACCAUUUACCAAUCCAAUUCAGCAAGCAAUAUAUUAACGCGUAAAAGUGUUUAGAUAUACUAAAACACAUAUGACUAGAAAGCAAGAGAACAAAGAAAUUAGAUAAAUUAACCACAUAAAAAAUGUAAAAUAAGUUCGUACAGGAUACGUAGUUUUGAAAGCUUGCGCAGAGUAGUUGGAAUGUUCCCAGUUAAAGCAUUCAAGUAAAGAUCCAAGCUCACCAAGUUUAUCAAAUUUCCAAGCUCAUCUGGGAUUAUCCCAGAUAUGUUAUUACCAUAAAGCCCCCUGUCCUAAAAAAUUGACUUAGUAAUUCUUGGACAAAGUCACAAAGGAAGUUCGAUAGAAGCGCAUAAUUCAAGUAUCUUUGUGUGAAAUGUGCAACCAAAUCCAAUGGAAUGCAACCAUCUUCAUGAUUAAGCCUAACCAAUCAAAACCAGAACAUGGAGAAAAAAGCACACAAAAUCUGUGCUCUCAAAUAUUUUUAUUUUUUCUAAGGUUGAGUGCUGGAGUUUCACCCUGAGUUUAAACUCAGGUAUUUUUCCAGCAAGUUAUGAUUAUUCGAUUUUAUACAGUUACAAAUUUAAGAAAAAUGAUUCCAAUGAAACUUAUCUACUACAACCAAAUCUUGGAAAGAAUCUAAAGGAAGCCCUAAAUAAUAAACAAGUCAUUAAUUAUUUGGCAAAGCAUGCCGGUGUUCUGUUUUUCCUUUAUUUAUUUAUUUACCUUUUGCUGCUUAAAAGAAUUCUAUCAAUGUGGAGCAGCAUGUAAUCACCAGGGCAAAAGCUAUCCACUUACAGAUACUGCAAAUUCAUAAGCUGCCCGAUCUGUGGAACCAAUUGACCAGAUAGACCCGAAUUCCCAAGAUCACUAAAUUGAAAAGCAUUUAUUAAGCCAAACUAGAUACUCGAAAGUAACAUCAACUGCAGUAGCAAAAAGUUAUAUCAUAAGAAAACUUACAUUCUUGUUACACUUUUUUCACUAUUACAUGUGACAUGAAACCAUGUGCAGGGAUUAACAAGGGUUGAGCCCCAACUUUGCAACACAUUAUUUGGGUCAAUCAAAUUGGUCUUCAAAGAAUUCAAAGCAUCACCUGUUUCAUUACAUAAACCGAAAACUCCAAUGGAUAUUAAAUCAUAUUAUGAAACAAUUUAAACUGUUGGGAUGGGCCAAAACUCCACCAUAAGUUGAAAGGUUCAUCACAAUAAACGUAAUACUAACGUUGGACAUUGAUGAAGAAAAAGCGUUGGUUAAUUUCACCUAACUGAAUAUGGAGAAUUAGAACGUAAAUCAUAUCCAAAAUUUUUGCAGAAAUUAAUCAUUACGAAGCGUGCAACUAUCCCGUCAGUCAAGUCACUUAGUGCACUGAGGCUAAUUGAAAUUUAAAACAAGCAGUCAAGCCUUUUGCCACUUCUAAACCAAUCCAAAAUUGCUACUAAUUUCUUCUAAUUUGAAUCUCAUAAAAAAAUCAGAAUACAAAAAUAAAAAACUAAUAAAAAUGAAAAAAUUUAUAUAAAAUAAUUUCAUCAUUUCAAUAUAUAUAUAUAUAUAUAUAUUAUUUAAAUUAUAUCACAUAAUCAAAUUAUUAAAAAUUAUUUAUUUAUUAUAAAAUAGUUAAUUUAUUUAUUAAAAUAAAUAUUUACUAUUUAGUUAGUAUAACAAAUAAUUAAUUUUUUUUAAUAAUAGGAUUAUAUAACCUCAAUUGUUUCAUUCCGUCUUUUCCUAAUAUAUAAGUAUAUAGAUUUUUCAACUACGAAAAUAUUAUAUUAGAAUAGAGUUUUUUUCUUUCUUUCUUUUUGUAAUUUUUAUUUUUAUUUUUAUUAUCAAUUUUUAUUGUAAAAUUUACAUAAUUAAAAAAAUAAAAAAUAAAAAAUAAAGAAAUCAAAUAGGGGUAAUAUGUGAAUAUUGUAAUUGAUGUUAUUUUUUUAUAAAUUUUAUUUAAUUAAAAAAUAAAAAAAAUUAUAAAUGGUGCUAGAUGGAUAUUCUCAUUUAAAGAAAUAUAUAAAUAUAUAUAAUUUCAUAUAUUCAUAACAAUGCUUGAGAAAAAGUAUCCUAAACACGUUUCCAUGAUCUCAUUUCUUUAAAAAAAAUUAAAUUUCAUUUGAAUUCAAUUUUUGAUUCAAAAAAAUUAUUCCUUAUUAGAUUAGGAUAGAUUGAAAUUUGUUAAAUAAGAAUUAUUUUAACAUCUUUAUCGAUUAACAUUUUUUAUUUUAUCUAAUUAAAAAUUGAGAGUGUCACGUGGCCAUUUCUAUUGUCCUCAUUUUUUUUCAUAAAUUAAUUUAACUUAAAAAACCAUAAAAACAAAAGAAAAACAUAAAAGAAAAAAUAAAAAAAUAAAAAGAAAAUAAAAUAGAGUUCAUUGGGUUAGAACAUGACAUUCCAUUUGAGCUUAAAAUAUUACUAUAUUAAACUAAGAUAUUAAAAAUUUACCCAAUUAAUUUACAAAUAAAAAAUUUAGGAAAAAAAAAAGAAAUAAACAUAGAAAAAAAAAAGAAAAAAAAAUCAUCGAGACUGCUAUAUAAACAUCCAAAUCAAGUUAAAAAUAUUAAUAUCUUAAAGUAAGUUAUAAAAUAAUAACUUAAUUAAUAAAAUACAUAUAUAUAAAUAUAAAAUUAAAUAUAUAAUAAAAUAUAGAUAAUUAAAAUAUUGUUUUAAUCAGUAAUAUCAAAUGGAGAUCACGAUAAAACUUUAUAAUAUUAAAAAAUAUUUAUCAAAUAUUAAAAAAAGAAAAAAGAAAAUAAUUAAUUAAAAAAAUAAAUGAUUUGAUAUGUGACAUACCCUAUCUACACAAAAAAAAUUUAAUUUAAAAUAUUUAUUAAAUAUAUAAAAAAAUGAAAAAAAUAGCAAAUACAUGGCAUAACUUUUGUAUCAUGUGAGUAAGUAAAAAAAUUUAAAAUCUAAAAAAGUAUUUAUAAAAUGUAAUAAAAGAAAAAAAAGCAAAAGAAAAAAAGGUAAAAAAGAAAAAAAUAGUAUCAAGUAAGUCCCACUUUUAAAAUUUUAAAUGAAAAUUUUAUUAAAUAUAAAAAAACAAAAAUAAAUAAAUAAAAAUAUUUUAAAAUUUUAUAUAAUUUAACAAACAGUAGUGACACAUGACACACGAAUUAAGCUUUGUAUAAAAAAAAUUAUCUAAUGGAUAGAUUUAAAAAAAAUUGUAAAAAGAAAAAGAAAAAAUGUGGUAAAACGGGUCCAACCAAAAAUAAUUGAAAUCUUAAAAAAUAUAUUUAUAAAAUUUUUAAAAAAAUAAAAAAAUCUGAAUAAAGAAGACAGAACAAUUUAAAAAAUAAAAAACAAAAACAAAAGAAAUUGAGGAGCUUGUGGCACAUGGCAUAAUAAAAUGAGAGAAUGGUGUAAAAAACCUCAACCUCUUAUGAUUUUGAUUUUAAAAAAAAUUAUCUCUUAUUAAUUGAGAUAAAUCGAAAUUCAUUUAAUACAAAUGAGUUCGUAAAUAUAUUUAUUUAAUAUUUAUGAAUAAAUUUAUUUAAUUUAAUUAAACGAGUACGAAUAAUUUAUUAUUUAAAUAAAUAAAUAAAAAUAAAUAGAGUAAUUAUUUUAAUAAAUACGAAUUAAAUAUAAAUAUCUUUAAAAAUAAACGAGUAAAUAUAAAUAUAUGUUAUUUAUUAAUGUCCAAUUCGCUUACAACCUUAGAAGUGUCAAGUGGACAUUUUUAAUAGUCUCAUUUUUUCAUAAAAUUAAUUUAAUUAAAAAAACCAUUGAGGACUGUUAUGUAGCAUUCGAGUUAAAUUUCAUGCAGAAAUAAAAUUGACCUAAUGAUGAAUUUUAAAAAAAGAAAAAAAUUAUAAAAAGAAAAAAAAAACUGGAAAAAUGGGUGCCGUCUAAAAAUUUGAAAAUUUGAAAAAUAUAUUUAUAAAAUUUUUAAAAAAUUGAGAAAUUUUUUUUAAAAAUCUGAAUAAAAAAAUAGAAAAAGGAAAAAACGGCAAGAAGAUAAGUUGUGCCACGUGGGAAGAAAAGGGAAACAAUGUGGCUGGUAAAUUGGCAAAUUAAGUGAUCCAAGAAAAUGAAUGACUAUUAUGAUCCGGUUCUAACUAAAAGGGCUUUACAGGUGAGAUGGUUUCAUCUAACCGCAGUUAGGCUUUUCUUCAUCACUUAAAAGAAAUUCGGACCGUUCCAGCUCCAAGCCUAAGACUUUUAGGAGCCUUUGCUUACUUAGACCAUAUAAAAAAAAGAUUAUCAGCUGGGGAAUUUAGAGCUGCAGAGGCCCAUUGGGGCAGUGGUCAGCCUUGGAUCCUUAGAACUUUCUCAACUCUCUUUCGUUCACGGGGAAUCAGGGGAAUGAAUGUACCUGCAGUGGUCUCUGAUAAAUGUAGUUUUAUCUGUUCACACUUCAUAUACGGGAAGAUUCUCUUUUCUUGAUUAGGGUUAGACCUCACUCCUAUAUCUACUCCACCAUCCCCCAAAAGAUAAUGGGAAGGGUCUUGAAGGGCUAUACCACCAAUGAAUCCACCGUAAUCCCACCGGAUUUUAUUAUUUGUACUACUACUAGAAUAUAAAUGUUUCUCCAGGGUUUUGUCAUGAUGUUUACAUCAUAAAUAGAGCAGAUAAACUCCCAUGAUGUAUCAGUCACAGGUUCAUUAGAAGCAACUAGGAAUGAUAGGAAAAAUCCCAAAGUCCCACAAUAUCAACUAAGUGGGAGCCCCCACAAGGCGGAAAGAAAAAACUGGUGGGGGCUAUGAGACAGCUGAUCAAGUAGCAGUGUAGCUUCAUUGCCAAGUCAGUAAUUAUGUAUUGGACUAUAGCCGUCAGCCAGGCACACACUCGGGGGACACAGACAAAAUAGUCCUACCCUUGUGAAUUAAUCUGAGUCAUGAAUUCAGGCUCUCGUGAUCUCUCUUUUUCUACAUAUUUUUCAAAUCCUUUAGCAUUAUUAUUCUUCAAUGCAUCCACAUAAAGCUUAGGAUAGAGUCAAGAAAAGAAAAAGAAAAAGAAAAAGAAAAUAGAGACUGACCAACCACCACCAAAAAUGCCCAACGUACAAUGAUUUUGCCAUUGGUUAGAUGAUUACUUUGUGAAUGGGAAUCAAUCAAUGUUGCCCAUGUGAGUUUUAGUUGCCUUUUGGGCUUAGGAGAGAAAUGGAAACAUCCUAAUUACCUUUCCAUGCUUAACAAGUUUCCAAAAAUCAGCUUCAUCAUUAGUGGCCGGAAUCUCUAGAUCUUGACUUAUAAACACCAAAAUUUUGUCCCAUCAUCAAAUUUAUUCCAAGGCCCCAUUUUCUUUUCUAUUAAUUACUAGUUUUUUCAAACCUAAGCAUGAUAGUCGUUUUUGUUUUUCUCUCUUCUAAUUUCAUUAAAAUUUUUUUCAUACACAUUGCAUUAUUAUCUGCAUUUGUAGACACUCAAUUGGGUUCUGACCCAGAUCAAUUAGGCCUGACCUAAAUGGGUAAGCCCAAUGUAAUUUUUACUUUGUAUUAUUAUUGUUUUUUCUUUUCUUUUCUUUUUUUUUGUAUUUUUUGUAUUUUAUUAUUUAUUAUUAUUAUUAUUAUGUAUUAAUAUAUGUAUAUCUUUAUUUAUUUAUUUAUUUAUUUUUUUCUAUUAAUAUUCCUAUGUAUUUUAUUUAGUUAUAUAUUUAUUAUUAUAUUAUAAUUUAUUUAUUAUUAUUAUUAUUUUAUAUUUUAUUUAUUUUUAUAUUUUUAUUUAUCUAAUUAUAUAUCUAUUUUUUUAUUUAUCCUAUAAUAUAUCUUUUUUUAUUUAUCUGUUCUAAUUAUCUAUUAUUAUUAUUUUUAUAUUUAUUUGAUUUUUAUUUUAGAAAGUUGAGAUUGAAGCUGAAGAAUCCUACUGGGAAUGGGGAUUCAAUCAGAAGAGUCCAGAUUGGAUUCAAAGAUUGAAUCCCCGUCCAAAGAGGAAUUGGGAUUGAUCAGAAACUCCUGAUCAAUCCCUAUAUAAAGGACCCCUGGAACAGAUGCUAAACACACAGAAAACAGUGAGCAGAGCUACUGAUUUGAGAGAAAAUGAGGCGUAUAGGAAGCUAAGAAAAGUUUAAGAGUGUUCUGGGAGCUAGCAGAAAUGUUUUAGAAUUUUUGGCGAUUUUUUUUUCUGGGAAUUUCUGGAAAUUCCAGAUUUCGUUGAAUUUUUCGACGAAGUUUGAAUUUUUCGGUGAAAAUUCCAUCCAACCUUGAAGUUUUCGGUGACCAGCCCAGUUUUUGACGAAGAAUCCCAGAAACCUGUGAUCUUCCGGUCAACUUCCGGUGAAAUUUCCAAAUUUCGGUGACAUUUUUCAGAAUCCGACGGAAAUUUCACCGGUGUUCUUCAACCUUUUUAGAGAGAAAGGAGAGGAAAAAGGAAGAAGAGAGAGAGGGGGGGGAGCAUUCUGCCGAAAAACAGAGGGAAGUGCCUUUUAUACCUUCUCAAAACGACGUCGUUUUGGCCUUAAGUAACCCAGAGGAUCCGUGCGUUUUGCCGAGAUCCGACCCGACCCGAGCAUCGACCCAUUUUCUGACCCGCGCGUGCCGUCCCCCUCCGAGCCAAGCCGAGCUGAGCCGAGCUUCCGAGCCGCUCCCCCGAGCCGUUUUUUCUUCCUUGAGUCGAGCCGAGCCGAUAGCCGAGCCGCUUCAGGUUUUUUUUUUGAAUUUUUUUUUAUUUUAUUUAUUAGAUUAGAUUUAUUUAAUAUUUUUUAUCUUUAUCUUAUUUUUAUUUUUGUUUUACUUUUCUUUAUUUUUUUAUCUUUAUUUAUUUUCACUUUUAUUUUGUUCUAUUUUCUUUAAAUAAAAAUAAAAAAAAUAUUUUUGGAGAAAAGUUGAAAGUAUCAAUUUUUCUUAAAAAUAAAUUUAAAAAAAAAAGAUUUUUGAGGAAAAGUUGAAAAUAUCAAAUUUCCUUGGAAAUCAAAGUUUCAAAAAAAAUAUUUUUGAGAAAAAGUUGAGAGUAUCAAUUUUCCUUAAAAAUCAAAUUUGAAAAAAAAUAUUUUGGGGAAAAGUGAACAGUAUCAAAUUUUCCUUAAAAAUAAUUUUCAAAAAAUAUUUUUGAGAAAAGUCUUGGAAAGUAUCAAUUUUCCCUACACAAGAACAUAUCAUUCUUUCCUUCCUUUCUAUUUUGUUUUGAUUUUUCUUUAAAUAAUCGACGACGGAGCCUCUUGCAGUGAACAGUAGUUUUUCUUUAACAUACUCUGAGUGAGGGAAUUUUCUCAAUUUUUUGCUAAAAGUAUUAGAGUUAUUUUGAGAAUAAUUUCCAAUAAUUAAUUACUUGUUAAAUUUUAAGGCUCAUUGGAUACAUAAAUUUCAGUGGGUACCAUCUUUUGAGACGUUUGUGAGGGUGCUAUAAACCUUUUUCAACGUAAUCGAACUCCCGAACCCUGUUCUGGUUAGCAGACCUGAACCUAUUCUUUUAGGGACCCUUAAACUUAGGUGUCCCCUGAAAAGACAGAUUCUUUAGGUGGCCAAUCGCACCUAAAUAAAAAAGAUUGGUGGCGACUCUCUAAAAGUCAAUGUCUAGCGAUAGAUCUCAGGAUCUAGACGUUAUGACAGCUUGGCGACUCCACUGGGGACCUUGAGAGUCAGGCCAGCAAAUAAUUUGUGUUAUCCAAAAGCCGAAUAAAAUUGAACCCUUCUGUAUAUAGGUGUUAUUAUUCAUUCAUGUUUAUUUGCUUUGUUAAUUAUGUCAUUCAUGUGCAUGUGCAUAACAUGAACUCUACACCCGAGCUCUGUCCCUCUAGGAGGGAGUAAAGUACCUAUUACUUUCGUGAGGUUUAAUGCCUCUGCAGUGGCUAGCGAAAUACUCCCACUCAAAUUGAACUUUUUUCGCUUGUAGCCUGUAAUGGGUGAGGAUUAGGGUGCCUUACUAGUCUGUGAUGGACAAAGAUGUAAGAACAAUUUGAGGACCUUUAGACUCUGACCUUAAAACCGCAUGUAGUGAACCUUAAGAGUGCCUACACCUAAGAUAGAGCCCUUUCUACCCAAUGAUAGAUAUAUCCUAAAAUUAGGACACAAAAAGGGUGUUUGUCUAAUCAUUUUGAUUGUUUAACUUUGUGUAUUAUUUUUAUCAUAUGUAAAAUUAUGCAUCAGCAUCACUUUCAUUUCAUCCAUGGGACUAACUAUGUUGUUUGUCUGAUUGUAUGCAUCUGCAUUAUUUUCAUGAUUAUGUUUUAACACAAUCAUUUACAUUCAUUUCAUACUAGAUUUCAUUCAGAAAAAUGUACAUUUCAUUUGUGUAUCAAAGCAUCAUACAUAAGGCACAGCAUAACAUUUCUAAUCAUGGUACUCAAGGUCCGAGGAUAGCUCCAUCUAGUGAAAACCCUGCUCAUCCAUACAACACAAGAUCUAGAGCAAGGCAAAUGGAAGAGAAAAGUUCUCAUAGAUUUGAAAAGCUAGAAAAAGCUCAGGAAAAGAUUGAAAGUGAACUAAGCAAGAUUCUGGAUGCCCUUAAUAACAUGAAUAAAGGAAAAUGAGUUGAAGGAAGUACAAGCCAGCAAGAAGUGGCUGACCCUUUGUACCCUUCAAGUUUUGGCCCACCUCAAGCCCAGUCUACCCAAGAGGUCCCACCAUAACAUUUUGCAUAUCCAACAUGUCCUGGAAUGCCAUCAGCUUUCAACCCAGGGCAGUAUAAUAGCUAUAUAAAUCCUGUCUUCACUGAAAAGGUAGCAUAACCAAUUCCUGAUCUAGAUGAUGUAAAAGAGAAAAAGAAAGAAAAGAUAAGGGUGGAAGCUGAGGAAAGCUCCAAAAUUAGCAUGCUAGAGCAGAGGCUACGGGCUGUGGAAGGAUUUAGCUUUUAUGGGUCAGUUGAUGCUGCUGGGCUCUGCCUAGUUCCUGAUGUGGUUAUCCUCCAUAAGUUUAAAGUAUCGAAAUUUGAAAAAUAUGACGGUACAAAGUGCCCCAAAACCCACAUCACCAUGUAUUACAGAAAGAUGACAGCUCAUGCACAUGAUGAAAAACUUUUGAUGCAUGUCUUUCAGGAUAACUUUACUGGUUUUGUUGCCAGGUGGUAUGUUCAGUUGGAUAGGACCCACAUUCGCUCUUGAAGCGAUAUGGCUCAUGACUUCAUCAGUCAAUAUCAACACAUUAUCGAUUUGACUCCUGAUCGUUUGUCUUUACAGAAUCUAGAGAAAAAGACAAAUGAAUCUUUUAAAAAAUAUGCCCAAAGAUGAAGAGAUAUAACUUCACAGGUACAACCUCCACUGACGAAGAAAGAGACCACAGUGCUGUUUGUUAGCACUUUAAAAUCUCUCUAUUAUGAAAAGAUGAUAGGGAAUGCAACAAAAAAUUUUACUGACAUGGUAAUCUCUGGAGAAAUUAUUGAAAGUGCCAUAAAAAAUGGUAAGUUAAAAGGAGGAGAAACCAAGAAGGCAUCAGAAAAGAAGGAAGCUGAAGCUCAAGCUGUGAGCUUUGAUAGACAACAAUUCAGGGGUUAUCAACCCUAUCCAUCCCAAGGUUACUCUCCAUACUAUCCUGCUGUGAACAAUGCCUCAUCCUACCCAUACCAGCUAGUUCCACAACCACCUUAUUCAUCCACUUAUCGAUCAACAUUUAGCCCUCAAGAUCUUACAUACAGUCUCAACAUUCAAGCUCCUGUAAGAACCCAAGUUCUCCCUAUUAACCCAACAAGUGGUUCAUGAGAACAACGAACUACUCGAGAAAAACUUAUAUUUGAUCCAAUCCCUAUGACUUAUAUAGAGUUAUUUCAAGAACUCUAUAAUAGCCAUUUGAUUACCCCCAAUCAUAUGGAGCCGCUUAAACCACCCUACCCAAAGUGGUAUGAUCUUACAGCCCACUGCGACUAUCACUAUGGAAUUACUGGCCAUUCUACUAAAAAUUGCACUAUUUUAAAGUAUAAGGUGCAACGGUUGAUCAAUGAUGGAAUGGUAAGUUUUGAUCAAGGAAAAGCAACAACAUCUAAUGUUAGCACUCUGAGUGAAAGUUAAGAACAGAAAGGGUCCGGAGAGUCACAAUGAAUUGAAGGGCAAGAUGUCAAUAGAGAUUUUUCACCUGAUCGCAUAGGACGACAAUUUUAAAAAAUGGAGAUAAGGCUGGUUGAAGUUUUUUCUGUCAUUUUAGGAUUUCUUUUUAAAUAAUGUUAGAUUUCUUUUUGCAAUGUGACUUCACUUGUUAUCAUUUUAAUAAAGGCAAGUUAAUGCAUUUCAUUACAUUUUUCUCUUUCACUUGACCAUUACUCCAUGCUCUGUUACCUUUCAUAAUUUUAUACUCCCAUUCUUAGAUUUCAGAUGAUGAAUAUUUAGACAAUGAUAAACAAUAAUUCUGAGAUUUAAUUUUGAGAACUUAUCCAUAUUAAUAUGAGAAGAUGAUUUGAGCAAAAAUAAGCUGUUAUCAGAGUUGAAAUAGAUAUGUCUUGAAGAUGUGUAAUCUUUUAUACAGAUUCAUGAGCUUUGUUCAAUAGAUGAUGUUCAAGAAAGGUAUUCACAAUUAAGAUGAAAAAUGGCCAUCUUUCUUUUACCAUUUGAAAAACCAUUUAUUGCUACCCCUUUGAGCCUGUUACGAUUUCUUUUUUGAAAAACCCUAACCAAGGAUCACUCUCUAUACUGGGGGACAAUUUUUGAAAAAAAAUUUUUUUCACAAAAGGUCUCAAAAAAAAAAAAGAAAAGAAAAAAUAAAUGCCACAAAUGACUUGGGGCAAAGUAAUGAGAAUCCUUUGUGUGAGAAAAAAAUGAUGUGAGGGCAAAAUGCCAAGCUGCAUCAAAUGAUCCUUUGGUUUUAAACCUUUUUAAUACAUGUUUUGAGCCUAUUAUAUCCAUUUUUUAUGACCCUUCACCUUGGCUUACAUUACAACCUUGAAAAGUCCAUUUGGAUCAAGUGUGAAUACUCAACUUGAAUGAUCACAUGUUGAGCGAAGGCAUACUCAUGAUGAAGCAAUGGAAUCAUGCUACAUUACUUUAAAGUUUGAUGUAUGAAGGAUAUCAACAAUAGAUGAAAAAUAAAAAAAACUUGAUACUUUUGGAAAUGAAUGAAAACUUUUUUUAAACCUAGAUUGAUGCAUUUGUCUAUUCUAUUGGCGUGCCUAAAAAAGUGUAAAAAAUAAUGAUGGUUGCAAGUAUGUUUUCACCAAACUUUUGAGACAGAAGGGAUAUAUCUAGAUGACCCAUUUUGAACAUAGGAUGGAAUUCAAGUUUCCCUUCACCAAAGUAAUAAAAUUUGACUUGCAUAUCAUGCAUCAUUUGCUUGAAUUCAUUAUUUUUCAUGCCAGCUAAGGAUAAUGAAUGAUAAUUGAAAAUAUACUUGUUAUAACCUUCGAAGCAAUUUUUUUUAUAUAUAAUAGAAUUCAUGCCAUGCAUUUCUGACUUUUGAUAAUUAAUAAAAGGUUCAAGGAUAGCUAUUCUAAGAAACAAGGACAGUUGAGUUUGCACACUUAUAGCACUUGAGCUAGUACCAUAAUCAUGGAAAAUGAAAGUGCCAGUUGAAUGGACAGAGUAAAAAAGGCCCAAAGAGAGAUCGGUGAAACAGUUACAAGAAUGCAACAAAACGUGAAUAGACAACUGGCAGAUUUAAAACAGAUGAUAGUGGAAUUGACAAAAAAAAAGAAGUUGUUGAGAUGCAUAGGACAAGGGAGGAAACAGCUAUCAAGACACCAUUGUAUCCAUCUGGGUUCACAUAUGUUCAAGAUCCCCAUAUGUCAUAAACACCUCUAACAACUGAUCAACCUAAUGUUGGCCAUUUUGCUAAGUUACCAUCAGUUCAGACAAAUAUCAAUCCUGGGCAUACUCCUCACGACUUCACUACUGUGCCCAAUGUGGAUGAUCAUAAAAAAUUAAAAAAAUUAAAAAAGGUGUCAGAUCCAUCAGAAGAUAUAGUGAUGAAAGAUAAGCAUGAUCUGUUAGAAGAGAGACUGAAAGUAAUUGAAAGCCAUGAUGUGUACGAGAAUGUUGGUGCCAGUAAACUUAGUCUAGUACCUGAUCUUGUUAUUCCAUCAAAAUUUAAAGCCUCAAAUUUUGAUAAGUACAAUGGAACGAAAUACCCUUUAAUACACAUUACCAUGUACUAUCGAAAGAUGACAGGUUACACUCAUAAUGAUAAAUUAUUGAUCUAUUGCUUUCAAGAUAAUCUCACUGGACUUGCAGUAAAAUGGUAUGCUCAGUUAGAUUGAAAUAAGAUUCACUCUUGAAAUGAAUUGGCUAGGGCUUUCCUAGCACAAUACAAGCAUGUUGAAGAUAUGAUGCCAGAUAGGUUAUCCUUGCAGAACAUAAAAAAAAAUCAACUGAAACAUUCAAAGAAUAUGCACAUAGAUGGAGAGACAUAGCAGCUCAAAUACAACCAUCUUUAUCAGAGAAAAAAAUUAUUGUUCUGUUUGUCAAUUCUUUGGACACUUUCUAUUAUGAAAGAAUGAUUGAAAAUCUCUCCAAAAUUUUUUCGGACAUGGUGAUUUCUGGUGAAAUUAUAGAAAAUGCAAUUAAGAGUGGUAGGAUUAAGUUAAAAGAUACGAUAGAUAUUGAAAAAGAAAGUACAUCAGAACAAAAUAAAAAAAAAAGGUGCAAGCAGUCACACCGGAGGGGCAUCUACCUAAUAGCUUUAUCCCGUACAAUCUUUAUCUUGCUUAUCAACCCCAUCACCUUGCCAUAAGCCAUAUCUUUCAAAAUCCAUAUCUUUGCCAAUCAAGCUAGCAUUUGAGCUUUCCAGCAAACUCUCAUCCUCAAGUGGUCAUUCAUGAUCUUGUUCCCACAUUUGAAUCUACCACUCGACCAACAAAGAAUCGAAAGAGACCAAGGAAUGAUCAAGAGAAAUUACCCAUCUCUAUUUCUCACAUUUUACCUUUGCUAAUAGAAGGUCGAUAUCUCACUCCUGUGCCUCUGAAAACAACACCAAAUCCAUCAGCAAGGAGUUACAAUCCCAAUGAUAAGUGUGAUUACCAUAUGGGGACAAUUGGUCACUCAACUGAAAAAUGCAAGCAGUUGGAAGAAAAGAUUGAAGAUCUUAUCAAGAAUGGUAUUUUGACUCCGGAGGUAAUAGAAUAAUGGAAGUUGUUGACUCCAUUCAAUUGUCAAAUGUGAAAAGUUGAGAUGAAGAGGGAGGUGUCAAGUUGUGAAAAUCAAGAUAUGAUGAUUUUUUUUUUACUAUGUAUGUAUGACAUGUGCAUUGUGUCUCUAGGAGUUAUUUAACUUAUUUUGGAAGAAUUGAAUACUUUGGAUCUUUUUCAUGAAAUUUUCUUUUUAUGCAAAAAAUCCCACAUAAAUAACUUUAAAAAAAAAAGAAAAAAAGUUUUAUUUUGUAAUAAAGAUGGAAGAAUUCUUAAAGGAAAUGGUGAUUACUAUUAGGAAAAAGCUCAUCAAAUACCUCAACACCUUUUCAAAUACUUUCAUGUCUUUAAGUGAUUGGAUUAAUCAACCAUAACCUUUCAGAGAAUGUGGGUUUGAGUUCAGACCUUAAAGAGCCGAUAGUCUUUUCCUUGGCAAAGAACAAAAUAGAUUAAUUUUGAAAGUUUGUUUUGAAUUUUAAAAAUUAGAUAUUCUUUUAAAUUUUCUAAUUGAUAGUCCAAUGUGUGUCAAAAUUUUGCUAUGACCAUAGAUACAAAAACACGUGAGCUUUCUUCUUAAAUAACCUUUGUUCCAUGUCUUAAGGCACAUAUUAAAAAAAAAUCCCUUUCUGCCUAAGAUAAUUUAUUUCAUACCUUCAUACCUUUUCUCUUUCUUUCACUACGAAAAUGCCAAAAAAAAAAAUUUAAAGCCCAAAGAGCCUUUUUGAGCUAUGCGAUCAAUCCUAUUCAGCUUAAUCAUCGUUAGAACCUUGAGUAAAAAUGAUGGGGCAUAAAAAAUAAAAAAAAAAAUAAAAAAAAACAAAAAAAAUAAAAAAAAUAAAAAUAAAAGGGACAUAUUCAGUGAUUUGCUCUUCUACCCAAGUGAUCAUGUUUGAAAUGAUGAAUGGCCAUCUUUCUCUAUCCUUCUCGUAUAUAAAAAUUAUCCAUUUGUUACCCAUUUGAGCCUAUUAAUUUUUUUUAUUCCAAAAUAAACCCUAGUCAAGGAUCAUUUUUUACAUUAAGGGAAAAAAUUAAGAUACAUUCAAAAUUAACUUCAAGAAAAGUAUCCGAUAUUAGAAGCAUCUAACAUGCCCUUCGGAGGUGAAAGUUUGGGGGUAAAAAGUGAACAAAGCUUCGAUCAAAAUUUCAAGAUUCAAGAAAGUGAAUAACCAAAGAUAAAGUUAAGUAUUUCUAAGGCAAAACAAAAAAACCUUAGAGAUAAGAAUCUGAAGCUUCAAUUAGAAUUCAAAAAAAAAAGAAAAAAAUAUAUAUAUAUACCUUGAAAAUAAGAAUUCAAGGCAAAAAAAAGGGGUGCGUGAAGUUGCUGAAAUUAAAGUCAAAUGUUUCAAAAAAAAAAAAAGGCAAAAGAAGAAAGUCAGAGAGUGCUUAUCAGAAUCCUUGGCCUAAUCACCCUGAAUAAUAUAUUUGAGCCUAUUUAUCCAUUUUUUCAGAACCCUUAACCUCGACCUACAUUACACACCUUGAAAAGUCCAUUUUAAUCAAAUAUGGAUACUUGGAUUGAAGAGCAAUAUCCCUGAAUUUGUAUAUACUUGUUGAAUUCUUCAUUGAUAAAAAAAUAUAUAUAUAUAUAGCUCUAAGGUGAAAACCCCAAAAGGGCAGUUUAGAGCUAAAGUCAUUUUUUGAGGCCCCAAAAUGAAUUUCAGAGUUUCAAGGUUCUAUCUGAAAUAAAAAGUUUUGAUACAAAACCUUUUGAAAGAUCAGUACCCAUUAAAGACCUUUCUUAAAAAAAAAGCCUUAUCUUAUUCUCAAAUCUUGUUUGAAGAGUAAUGACUAGUUUUGACUCACAUUGGAGUAUCAUGUUUUCAAUAAAAAGAAGUGUUUUAAAAAAAAAUUAUCUUUUUUGGGAACCCAAGAGAAAUCCUUGCAACCCCCAUCGAGCUUUACAUGAGAUAUGUCACCAGUGAAAAAAUUGAAUUGUCAAUUACCUCACCUAUGAGCCUUUCAAAUAGUAAUCAUCAAUUUUUAAGAGAUUCAAAAGUCUUGAGUUUUAAAUCUUUUCAUUCAAUUGCAAAAAAACUUUUUGUGGGGUAAUUUUUGAUCACUUUUGAAAAAUUUCAAGAUUAUUGGAGCAUUUUGCACAUAAUACUAAGAUCAUUUUUUGGGUGAAAGUAAAACAAUGAAAAUUUAAACAAAAUUUUUUUUUUCAAAAAAAAAAAAUAAAAACAAAAACAAAAAUUUUUCACAAAAAAAGUGGGGCAAGAAGAGUUUUUGCAUUUGCAUCAUAGUAUCUGCAUCACAAGAAAAAUAUUCGUAUUUGCAUCACUUGUAUAAGACAUUUGCAUUCACACCAUAAGAAGAAUUUACAUUUGCAUCAUGACAUCUGCAUCUUAAGAAAAGGUAUUUGUAGGGGCAUCUACAUAAAAAGGACAUUGUCAUUUGCAUUGUAAAAAAGUCAAAUGUAUCAAGCAUUUGCAUUCUUACGUUGGCAUUAACAUUUGCAUCAGCAUCAUUUGAUGAGAAUAGACAUUUAUAUCAUGUUUGCAUUUAUCAACUUUGUAAAUAUUAAAAAAAUAAAAAAGGGGCAUGUUUUUAAAAUUUUAAAGUCUCUGUUUAAGAGAAACCGUUCUCAAUCAAAAUUUUAAAACAUCUGUUUAAAAGGAACCAAUUUCAAUCAAGAUUUUAAAGCCUCUGUUUAAAGGGAACCUUUCUUAGAAAAGACCUUUAAAGUCUUAAAAAUCUCUGAUAAGACGAAAGUCAUGUUUUAAAAGAUUUUUAAAUUUUUAAAGUUUCAUUGCCUCUGAUUAUAAGGAGCAUUCAAAGAUUUUGAGAUUCUGUAAGACCUCCGGACAUGAUUCUAUAAGACCUUCGGGCAUGAUUUUUAAGACCUUCAGGUAAUUCUGUAAGACCUCCGGACAUGAUUUUAAGACCUUCAGAUAAUUUUGUAAGACCUUCGGGCAUAAUUUUUAAGACUUUCGGGCAUGAUUUCUAAGACCUUUGAUAUAAAUUUGAUUCGUAAUGUUAUCCCGAUCAAUUCUAUGAUUUUAACUUGUUAUCCCAGUCAAUUUUGUAAGAUCUCCGGGCAUGAUUUUUAAGAGCUUCGAAUAAUUCUAUAAGACCUCCGGGCAUGAUUCUGUAAGACCUUCGGGCAUGACUUCUAAGACCUCCGGGUAUGAUUUUUAAGACCUUCGAAUAAUUCUAUAAGACCUCCGGGCAUGAUUCUGUAAGACCUUCGGGCAUGAUGUCUAAGACCUCCGAGCAUGACUUCUAAGACCUCUGGGCAUAAAUUUGAUUCGCGGUGUUAUCCCGAUAAAUUUUUUAUCUUUUGACUUGUGGUGUUAUUUCAAUUGAUUCUGUAAGACCUCCGGGCAUGAUUUGUAAUACCUUCGGGCAUAAAAUCGAUUCGCGAUGUUAUCUCGAUCGAUUCACUAUUUUUUGACUUGUGGCAUCAAAUUUGAAAAAGAUGAAAAUUUUUAAAGUUGUGGAGCCUCUGUUGAGAAGAGCUUUUCUAGAUGAGAUUUUAAAGUUGUUGAGCCUCUGCUGAGAGGAGCUUUUCUAAGAUGAAAAUUUAAGCUUUUUUAGAUGAGAUUUUAAAGUUGUGGAGCCUCUGCUGAGAGGAGCUUUUUUCAAGAGAAUUUUAAAGUUGUGGAGCCUCUGCUGAGAGGAGCUUUUUUCAAGAGAAUCUUAAAGUUGUGGAGCCUCUGCUGAGAGGAACUUUUUUCAAGAUAAUAUUAAAGUUGUGGAGCCUCUGCUGAGAGGAGUUUUUUUUAAGAGGAUUUUAAAGUUGUGAAACCUCUGCUGAGAGGAGCUUUUCCAGAUGAAAUUUUAAAGUUAUUGAGCCUCUGCUGAGAGGAGCUUUUUCAAGAUGAAAAUUUUGAAGUUAUUAAGCCUCUGCUGAGAGGAGCUUUUCCAAGAUGAGAAUUUUAAAGUUGUGGAGCCUCUGUUAAGAGAAACUUUUUCAAGAGAAUUUUAAAGUUGUUGAACCUCUACUGAGAGAAGUCUUUUUAAAAGAUCACGAUUUAUUUUCGAACAAAAUUAUUAUCUUUGUCUUUGCCCUAUUCCUGAUUCUCAGUAAUGUGCAAAGAGGGGCAGCUGUAGACAUCGAUUUUGUCCGGGUCUACUAUUUUAAUUAAUUAUUAAUAAAGUAAACAAACAAAAGAAACAAAGUAAGACAGAAAUCAGAAAGUUAGAACGGCGCCGCUGUCGCCAGCCCCCCGAUCAACUACCCGACCAGCCUCCCGACUAGCCACCCUACAGCCACCAACCAACUACUCUACAGCCACUUAGAUCCCCCUAAAUUGAAACCCUUUAAAAUCCUCAGCCAUCUUCCUCAUUAAACGUCUUUGGGCACUCUAACGAGAAAGAGGAGGAAACCCUCUCGAACCCUCUUAAGGCCUUUUCGAACCCCCUUCAACUUCUCUCUCGGAGAUCCCUUCUCGAAAUCUUUCAGAUAGUUCUUCACCUUCAGACACAACUGCCUACAUACCCUUUUCGACGACCCUAAAAACACGCAAAAAAAAAAUCACUUCAACCCACACCACGCCACAAAGAACAGGAAACACAAAACAGGAAACAAAAAAAAAAGUCAAACAGUCCUCCCCGUAGGGAAGAACCUCAAGCGCCAGAAAGCCUUGUAAACAAGCAAAGACAAUCAAUCAGUGUCGUUUUUCAUAAAAAUAAAAAAAAAGAGAGAAAGAGAAAAGGAAACAGAAACUUGAGCCCCGAAUCAUACGUUGAAUCGGGGCCGUUUCUGGUAAAACGGACGUCAGAUUUGGAAAAAUCUCUUUGCAAGGAGUUUCUGGAAGCAUUUUGACGUUUUUCGAUCACCAGCGACCACCGUCAACAGCAAACCAGGCGGCGGCCGACGCGGUAGUUCGACGACCGAACGGCAACGGGCUGGAGCUCUCCCCCGAUCUCUCUCUCUCCCUCUCUCUCCCCGUUUUUUUUCUGAAACAAAGAAAAUGACUUGAAAAAAUUUUUUUUUUUGACUUUAUAUAGGAAGCAACAAGCCAAAACGACACCGUUUUAGGUCAGGGAGAUCCGCGUGUGGACUCGGAUUCGACUCGGGAUCCGUGCAACCCGACCCGUUGACCCGCUCUUCCAACAGCUGUUGACCGAUCCAAUUGAACCGAUUUGAAUCGGACUGAACCGUAGACCGUUCAGCCGAACCGCACGUCGAACCGAUCCCUUUUCGAUCCAGUCGAAUCGGUCGUUGAUCGGACCGUUGACCGGUCCGGUUCAAGUAAAAUUUUUUUUUUUGAAUUUUCUAAAUUUUUUAUAUAUAUUAUUAUUUUUGUUAUUUUAAAUAUAUUUUUAUAUUUAUGCAUGAUAAAUUCUUAAAUUUGGUGGAAUAAAUGUUUAAUUGUUUUAAUAAUAAGAAAAUUAAAAACAAAUAAUAAUUAAAAAUAUAUUAAAAUGCUUAAAAAAUAAUAAUAAUUUUUAUUAUUUUUUCUGCCUAGAUGUUGGAGGGAAUAAAAAUAUUUUUCUAAAAAAAUAAUUCUGCUUAGAUGUUGAGGAAUUAUUGUUAAUAAUUUUUCAUAAAAUAAACAUAAGAAUUUUUUUUAAUUAAUUUUCAAAAAAUUAUAAAAAAACUGAACCUGCUCCAGAAGUUCGCCUAGAUGAUGAAAAUUUUUUAGAGAUGUUCGUGUUUUGCUUAAACCUUAAACACUAAUUUUUAAUUUUCAAAAUCUUCUUAAAUUCAAAACCCCCUAAAAUCCAAAAUCCUUGAAAUCCAAAGUCUUAAAAAAAUCCUAAGGACACGUGUGAAAAUUCUAUUUGAAGCAAUUUGUUCUCGAAUACCGCCUAGAUGAUGGGGUAUUUAGAAAAUUUUAUUUCGUGAAGUCUUUUCACACGAUUUCUUAAAUCGCAUUAAUAAUAAGAUUAAUAAAUAAAAGUAUAAUAAAAUUGGGAUCCUAAAUAUAAACAGUCGCACCUAAACUGUCUAGAUGUUGGAGAGUUGAUGUGAUCUCAUUAUAUUUAAGAAUCCAACUCUUAAAUUGCAUUUCAUUUUACAUGACAUUCAUUAGCAUGAUAUACGUUAGCAUGUUAUCAUUGAUAAUUGAUUGCAGUAUUCUCUCUUUAAUUUACUGAUAAAAUAUUUUUUAAUAAAAAAGGAAUAAUACUAAAAAAAAUCUUUUUGAAAUAUUACAAAAUAAAAUAAAAAUAACAUUCCAAAAAAAUAAUUCUUGGUACUCUGCCUAGAUGUUGGAGAGUCACCAAUAAUUUUUUAUAAAGAGCGUUAUUUCAUUUUAAGGAUUGUUGUAUUAAAUCUUAAGCGAAAAGAGUUAUUUCAAAUUCUGCCUAGAUGUUGGAGAAUUUUAAGAUAAUUCUUUAACUUAAAGAUUUUCUCAAUAUUCCUAAAUAAAAAUUUUAGCAAAAAAUAUUUUUUUCAAAUGAAGGAAAUUAAUGUUAAAUUUCAAAUUAAAACAAUUUUUAUCCAAUGUCGAAAAUAGCGCAUAAUUAAAUGGUACCAAUUUAUGAGCGUUCUGGGGGUGCUAAUCCUUUUCCAUGCGUAACCGACUCCUGGACCCAACUUGAUUUUUCACAGACCGAAAUUUAUCUUUUGAUAAACUCUAAACUCGUUUUUAUAGUUUUAUUAAAAAGAUAAACUUUUUGGUGGUCAAUCACACCCUAACAAAGCUUGGUGGCGACUCUUUUUUUUUAUUUUUUUUCAAUUUUAAAACAUCUCAUUUUUACGUCUGACGGUCCCAAAAUCGUUACGACAAAUCUGGCAGCAGAUUAUGCCGUGUGUGAUCGAUAUGCCUAUGUACCAAAAUAUAUAAUAAAUUAAAAUGUAUAUAUAUAUAUAUCAUUGUCUGUUUUCAUACUUGUAAUUAGCCCGAAAAAUUAUAUAUAUGUUUGAUAGAUAUGCCAAUAAAACAAGAUAUGGCUGCUUUACUUAUACUAUAAUAUGGUUGAUGAAUGUUAUAAUGAAAUCGUUUGUCCUCGAGUAGAGAAUGGUUCCCAAUACCAUUCAUUUUUCCUAAUACAUUUGAUUAAGACCCACUAUCCGUAUGGAAUAUUUCGUCACACUACAAUCCUAAGUGAAUACUAAUUAAUUAAACUCAAUCGGCUCUAUGCAUUUUUUAACACUUUACUAUUAUUAAACAAGGCUAAAGUCAUAUUAAAUUUUUUUUAUAAAAGAAGCUAUAACUUGGAAAUAAAAAAAAAUGUUAAAAUUUAAACUUAGACUUAUGCUAAGUGUUACUUGUAAGAAUGAUUAAAUAAAUCAAUCAGACUAAAUUUUAGGUUUUACUAUACCAGACUACAUUAUUUUUCAUUUAGACAGCAGAUUGAGAUACAGAGAUCGAUAAAGAAAUGUUAGUAUUAAUAUUAAUUAAUUUUAUGGUUUACCCUUUUAGUAAGUAAUUGACUCAACUGACGCUGCAUAUUCAAUUCAGUUAUACAUGAAAUGAAGAAAAAAACACCAAGGACAAAGUUUGUGAAAUAUGUCUAAAAUGAAAAAACGUAAAGUUUGGAGGAAUUGGAUAUGUACGCCUUUAUUGCUCUACUAAUCAGGCAUUAACCCAUUGAAACGAUUGGUUGUGUUGAUGUAGGCUUAAUGCGAACCAGGUUUGCAUGACAAGUACGUAAUAAAAAGUGCCCAAGCUUUAAGGCCAAAAGAUCAAUAUAAUUAAGUGCAUGGUGCUAAUUGAUUUCCAAAGCAAAAUAGGACCUGUUGCUACAAUUGAUCCCGCUUACUUUUACUUUAAUAUAAGUUGAAACAUGCAUGAUUUAAUAUUCAUGUACGUGCUAGCUAAUUUUUGUCUAAUGCAAAAAAAAAAACAAAAAAAAAUGGGGUCCUUUUAAAGCAUAUUGUUUGUAGAAAAUGGUUUUAUAGAUCUAGUCAUCUUGACCCAUGCUUGUAGGUAUAAAGUGAUACCUUGAUUGGAAAGUUCUUUGCAUUCAUUUGCAGGACAGUCUGUACAUACCGAACAAUGGUCCCUUUUUUCUGAUGGGAACAUACCAACAUCUAAAACCCCUUUUUCUUCUUCUUAUUAUUAUUCCCUGCUUAACAAUAUCAGUCCAUAUGUAGUCCAUAUCCAGCAGCAACCCCGUCAUUCUUAAAAUAUUUUUCCUAUAUUAAUUUUUGCGAAAUUAAAGAAAAAGUUAACUUUAAUUUAUUUAAUAUUAAAUUUUAUUUUUUUUAUAAAAUUGAAGUUUCAUAAUUUUUAAUAUUAAAAAGUAAAAAAAUUAUAAAAAAUAAUUUUAUAAUAUAAAAUAAAAAUUUUAGAUAUUAAAAAAAUAAAAUAUAAUUUUGAUAUAUAUAUAUAAAUAUUCAUUAUGAUUCAUAAUUAGGAUUUAGUACAUUUUUUUCGCAAGAGUUGCUUGGCGGGAAAUCUAGGAGGAAUGAAUAGAGAUAAAAAGUGCCGGCCAAGUUGGAAAAUAAUAUUGAAAAGUUCUUCGCUGCAUCUGCUCCACAGCUUUUCUCAUAUGCAAUAGUCCAGGGAAAAUACAACCCCUCCACUGUUAAUCUCAAUCAUCUCUGCAGACUCUAUACAUGCAUGAUGCCUGUUUUUGCAUUUUUCUUUCUUUGCUAUUGAUUUUUAUUUACUUCGACGAACAAAGGGUCAAAGGCCAUGUCACAAGAGAUUUUUAAAAAAUAAUUAUAAGUAGCUGCUAAUUAAAUUGUUGAACAUAAAAAAUAAUAUAAAUUAUUAAUGGUAUGAUUUAUUAAUAAAAUAUUAAAUUUAAUAAUAAAGUUUAAAUUUUAAGAUUUUAAAUAUAAUAAAUAAAUAAAUAUAAAUGCUCACUUCAGAUUACAAUAUAUUUAAAGAUGAAAUUAGAUAUGAAAUCAAAACAAAUUGUUUUGUUUUUUAUACGUAAAAUUUAAAAAAAAAAAUUUUUAAAAUAAUAUUUCAAGCAGGGUAAAACAUCUCAUAUAUUCUAAAAAUUACGUACGAAAAUUAACAUUAAUAAAAGACAGUCUAUAAGAUUCGAAUCCAAAAUUGCAUUACCGUUAAGUUAAAUGAAGUUCCGGGGUUAAAGUCAUCGUUGUUUAAUUUGAAGAAUCCAUUAGAUUUACGAUGCAAACAAUUCAAAAUACAUCCAUGAACAAUAAUAUACGUACGCCUGUACGUAGACGUAGCCUUUUGUACCCAUCACAUGAUACUCUCAAACCAAGUUGCAACUUGCAAGGCUCACCCUUUUAGAACAUCCCCACGCGCCCAUUCAACACGCGAUUCACGUGCUGUAAACCUUAGUGCCAAACACUUAUGAUCUACCUGUUUUUCCCUUGCAGCUGGACCCACGUGCCUCCUCUGUUACAAUGCGGGUCCCGCAGUUAAUUUUUUUUUGAAGUUCGCAGUUAUUUUUUUAAAUAUUAAAUAAUAUUUAAUAUCAAUGAAUAAAACGAUAUUUAAAUAAAAAUGUGUAUUUAAGAUAUUGUUUUUAUUAAAUUUGGUAAAAAUAGUGUAAUAAAUUCAAAAUAUUUAAAUAAUAAUUAAAUAAUUCUUAACCAGCAUGUGUAAACGAUACCUUUCCAUUUUCAUAUAAAAUAGAGAUAUCGAAUGGAUAGUAUUGAAUUGAUAUAAUUUAAUUGAAUAUUAGAUAUAUUAGUGAAUCAUAAUAUGAUAUUUUUAAGUUUUAAUUUAGUGAUUAAAGAUGUUAGAGAGAAUAUCAAGAAUUUAAUUUUAAAUUAUUUUUUUAUUUGUAUUAAAGUUUUAUCUUUUUAAUGUAAAAAAAAUUGUAAUACUAUAAUAUUAUUUUUAACAGGUCGCAUUGGCUUGAUUUAAGUGUCUUAGCUAUAUAUAUUACUAAUAGAUCAAGUGGUAAUUUUUUUUUUUACUUUUAAUAGUUUAUUUUUUGAUGAGUUUAAAUUUAUUAGUAAUAUAGUUUUCAAGAAAAAUGAGAUAUCAUAUAUUUUUGUACUCAAAAUGAAAGGAUUAUAAAUUCAUGUGACAAUAAUUUAAAUAUUUUAUAAGUAAAUUUAUUUAAUAUAUUUUUUAAUUAUUAAUAAAAAAUAAAAAAUAAAUAUAAUUUCAUCAUUAGAUUAAAAAUAUUAAUAAAAUUAAUUUAGACUUAGGGGCAUACCAUAUUGACUCAUAAGCUUGAAAUCUUUUGACCUAGCAUGACAUACGUAUAUGUGUCAUAUUUGAUUCAGUCCAACUACUUAAUAAUGGACUGUAUCAAUUGUCAAGCAUGACUCAUGUUGUGCUAAAUCGUAUUGUAUUAUGAGUUAUUUCACUCAUUUGACACAAUAAAAAACAAUGUUUAAAUAACACAUAUGUACAUAUUUUUUUUAACAAAAGAAAUCUUUGGGAUAAAAAAAGUUGUUGUUGUUGGUAAUUUUUAAAUUUUAUAUUUGUUAGAUAUUAAUUUUUAAAAAUAAUUACAUUAAUUAAUUAAAAUAUACAUUGUGUUUCGUGCGAAUUUUGAUUUAAUUUAUUAUUAUGAAUAACUCAUAAAUUGUAAUAAAAUAUUUAAUAUAAUAUAUAAAUUUAAAAGUUUUUUAAUAUGAUACAUAAAUUAUGAAUUUAUUAAUUAAUAUAAUAUUUUGAAAGUUAAUUGUUUAGCAUAUAUCAUAAUUUGUAAUUAUUGAUAUUAAAAGUAAGAUUAUAUUAAUUAAGAAAUUCAUAAAUCAAAUUUCACAUUAAAAAUUUUAAAAAUUUAUGUAUUAUAUUAAAUUUUUUGUAAUAAUUCAAAGUUAUUUUGUGAACAUUAUACUUUUGAUUCGAGGAUCUUUGCAAUAAGUAGUUUGUGUUACGUAGACGGAUUUGGAGUAAAAAAUUAGGAAAAUUGAUUUUUCUGCAUUGGCUCACAGACAGACCAAUCACAACAGAGCUACUGAUAUUCACCCAGGUUACAAAAAAUGGGGCAAAUUGAAAGUCAGGCUUCGGUUCUUUCAGAUUUUAUCUGGGGAUUGUCUUCUUCCUCACAAAUCCCCCACUCGGCCCGGCUCCAAUGGCCUCCGAAGAAUCUCUUUUCUAAUAAGGUAAACUUCUUUUUAAACGCCAAUGUGGUAAAUUUUAACCUUAAUAUAAAUCUUAUAAGGAAUAAUUGAAGGUUUUAAUCAAAAAUUUCUACUUCAUUGAUGUUUAUCAAAUAUAAUCGCUUAAGUGUAGGCGUUCUCUAAGAGAAGGGUUCAAAAGCAAGUAUGCAAAUCAACCAAGGCAUGACUGUGUUGUCAACUUCUGGCUGAAACUAAAGUUAAAACGGAGCCGAGAUAUGAUCCCAAAAUCCCUCACGUGAGUUACAGAGAAGCGAGAAAAACAGUCCUAAAAUCUCGACUUUCGAUGCUCUAACCUUACUUGAUACACUCUUUGAAAUCCUUUAUAAAAGUUUCUUAACACUGACAAAUCAAACAACCAUGCAUUUUAGUUUUCCCAAAUAAAACAGCCUCGAGUCGAGUCAGAAGAAAGAUGAAUCCAUCAUGGACCCGAAUAGCCUCUUUCAAAGUGUUCGUCAAAAAAAAAAAAGAAAUUCUUAGAUUCUCUCAAAAUUUUGGGUUGGUUUCCCUUCUGGCAAAAAACACUCUCCCAAAGAAAAUUUAAUGCGUCUCCACCAAUUUUCCAUCGCGGGCUACUACAACAACGUUUGUUUUUAACUACUCUCCCCUUUAUAAAAAUACCAAAGCUUAACCAACUUUUCAUGCUGAAGUUUCAUCUAGAUUUUAGUCCCUUUAUUUUUAUUAUUUGUAUUUUUCAGUUAGUAGUAACGAGGAUCAAAAGGGAUGGUCAAAAUGACCUCCUUCUUCUCCUCUGUUUUUGAAAACAGAGCACCAAAGGUCUCUGUUUUCCUCCGCUUCUUGAUUUCUUUGCAUUGUUUUUCAUUGAUCUCGGUUCGGGUUUUUUGUUCAAAUAUCACCUGCUUUUGCCUGUGAUACUACUACAAAUCCAGAGGUUGCAAGUUAUGGUUUUUGUAACGCAUCGUUGGGGACAGAUACGAGGGUGGCUGACUUGGUGCAAAAUAUGAAUGGUGCUGGGAGCGUUAGUCGGCUUGGAAUACCAAAAUAUGAAUGGUGGUCCGAGGCUCUACACGGAGUCUCCAACGUCGGUCCCGGUACCAAGUUAGCAGCUUGGCUCCAGGAGCUACAAGCUUUCCUCAGGUCAUCUUGACGGUAGCAUCCUUCAACACUUCUCUCUUUGAAGCCAUUGGCAGGGUAAAGUUGUUAUAUGUAUAUAUACACACAUAUAUAUAUAUUAUAUAUAUAUAUAUAUAUAAAUUUUGGCUUUGUUAUUCUUCCUGUUUACGUCGUUUCGCUUUUUCUUGUGUUCUUUUUCUUUUGUGUAUAUGUUUCCGAAGAUGAUGCUAACCUAAUGUUGAUGGGAUUUCUUUCAACGGGAAUGGGCUUUUUAAUCACUUAUGUCUAUUUUUAAUUUUAAUUGAUUAAAUUAAACUUAAAUAAAUUAAUAAAAGUUAUAUGUUUCAAGAUAAAUUUAUUAAUUUAAAAUUUUAAAAAUAUUUAGAUCAAUCAUUUUUAAUAUUUUUAAAAUUUACACUUUUACAUGUAAAAAGAUAGACAAAGAGAUGAUAAUCUUGAUAUAUAAUUAUUAUCUAAAAAUAAUAAAUUUUAUGUCAAUCUAAUAUAUUUUUCACUGAAACAAAGUUUAAAUGCUUUAAAGUUUAAAUUUUUUUUGGCCAUCGAGUUAAUUUUAAAAAUUUGUACAACACACAACUACAUAUUCAAUAUAAUUAUUCUUUAUAAAUAAAUAUUCAAGUGCAACUUAUGUGACUACCAUAAUCCUCACUUACAGAUUAAAAAAAAAAGAAAAAGAAAAGGUUUUUUUUCCCUCACAAUGGGCCUUUUUGUAAAUGUUGCAUCUUGUUCUUUUUGAAAAUUAGCUGUAAUUCAGGAGAUGAUAGAAAAUAGUUUUACUGUGGUAUGUAAAUUACAAAAACAGGAUAAACGGGGCCGAAAAAGAAACCAAAAUGAAAAACUAUAUGCGCAAAUGUGAACAAUGCAAAUCUAAAAUACAAAACCAACUCUGCCUGAAGACCUUCUAUUUGCUGAAGUGGUCAUCUAGGACCAGACAAUUCAUCUGGAGGGAUGUGAGAUGUGGAGUCUGCAAUUUUCCAAUUAGCUGAACAUUUCUUCCUCCUCCCACUCUUCCCAUCUUUCAGCCAAGCCGUUAUGGUUAUGCUCUUGGCCAAACAUUUCUUCUUUCUGCCACUCUUCCCAUCUUUCAACCAAGCCAGCACCCUCCAGCAUCAUGAUGACUUCAGACAUCUUAGUUCGUUUCAUUGGGGAGCCUUGAGUGCACAAAAGAGCCACCUGGAUUAGCUGUUCCACUUCUUCAACUAUGUAAUUACCCUGAAGAUCCAAAUCAACCAGCCUUUCCAACCUCCUGUCUUUCACAAGCCCUUUUACCUGAAAUUUCAGCAUUGCUGUCAAGUUGAAGGGGAAAAACAAGAAACAGAAACCAUUUGUACCAUUGAUAAGCUUCACUUGAAUUUGACAUAAUUGCGGUUGACAAAGAUGUGAAUCUUAAUGGCAUUAAAAAAAAAAAUGCAGCAAAGAUCAAUGUCAAGAUUGUAGUAGUUAAUUACAUAGGCUUCCAAAAGCCAUUUGUUUUAAACCAACUUCAUUUAAAAAUAAGCAUACCCAAAAUUAGUGAACAGAAUGGAUCUUAGGAAACCCAACGUAUCUUGACUGCUAGCAACUUAAAGAAAAGAAAAGAUAGCAUCACCCAACAACUAUUUUAUAUUUUCUUUUUCCCUCUUCACCUUGUAGAGAAAACAAUUUCAAGUUUCAACUAUUUCUACUUUUCUGCUUUUGCGUUUUCACCUUGCAAGGAAAAUAAAAUAGAGCUUCACUCUGUUAUAAGGGUAGUUCUGCUAUACUGUACUUUUAUCUAUUGCUUUUGGCCAACCAAGUGAAACAAGAAUUGAAUAAUUCCAACACUUGACAAGAAUGACAAAAGUCAAACUGUGAAAUGCACCACAAUAGAGACACAUGUAAUAGGAAAAACAGUACAUACCCAGUCAAGCAACAUGACAUCAUCAUCAUUUGCAAGCCGAGCAAUAUCGAAAGCCUUCUGUCCUGUAAUGAGUUCAAGAAGCAUGACACCAUACCCAAAAACAUCAGUUUUCUCUGAUGACGUUCCAGUUGAUAGGUAUUCAGGAGCUAUAUGACCAAUUGUGCCCCGAACAGCAGUUGUCAUAUGAGUAUCUUUAUAGUCCAUCAGUUUGGCCAGCCCAAAGUCUCCAACUACUGCUUCUAAUUCCUCAUCCAACAAUAUGUUUGCAGCCGUCACAUCACGGUGUAUAAUCUUAGGAUCACAAUGAUCAUGCAAAUAUGCAAGUCCCCUUGCAGCUCCCAGUGCAAUCUGUUUCCUUGUAGCCCAAUCGAGUGGUGAUUGAGACUCCGGGCGCUCUAGAGAAUGUAAAAAUCAGAUGAAUAGAUGGUCCAUUGUAACAAGAAGAGAUCACAAAGUAAUUGGAUUCCAUGAAUUUCUCAAAAUUCUACUUGGAUUCAAAGACAAUCCACAUUUUCCAAAUGUAUGAAAUUAUCAUAAGAAAGUCAAAAUGUUUUAGAACAAGAUUAGGAUAUGUGAUCGGUAGUUCAAAAUUUCUUCUCAAACAGCAGAAACGAUAGAGCAGAUAUUGAUAUAUGAAGCUCACACAAGAAUAAAUAGUUUACAUCUGAAAUGAAUUGGUAACCAGAAAAAAUAUAUAAAAUAAAUAACACACAUAAUAUAAAUGCAAUGCAUAACAUGACUAAAGAAAUAAUUAAGGAAACAACAGCCGGUACCUCUUAAACAGGAUGCAACACUACCAUUAACCAUAAAGGGAUAGACUAGCAGCUGUUCUGUAGGGGUCAAGCAAAAGCCACGGAGCCAUACUUAUCAUUUCUACCUCUGUUUGGAACUGCAACUCUCCAGCUUUAGUCUUUGCAAGUCUUUUUACAGCCACUAGAGAACCAUCAGCUAAGCGACCUUUAUAAACUUUACCAAAUCCACCUCUACCCAAAAUGUUUUUGUUGCUAAAGUAAUCUGUUGCCACUUGUAGUUCAUGCAAAGAAAACCUUUGAAGUUUUCCCAAAUGAACUUCUAGGACCUCCUCAACUAUAAAGAAAAUUAGAAAAGUGAAGACAUGCAUACAACGGCAUGGUAUCAAUUAAAACUAUCUUUUGAAAAAUCACUAACCAGGUACAUUAAAGAAAUGAUCCUGUGGUUUCCUUCUACGCCACCAAGCAAGUAAAAUUCCAGGAGCAGCAAAAAGCAGGAUAGCUCCAGCAGCAACUCCAGCAAUAGCACCAGUGGCAAUAUUACCUGCCAGUAUAAGUUAGAUAAAUAUAGAUACUGCCAAGACACCUGUAACGCUAAAACUCAUAACUAUUACUAGCAAUUUCAGCAGGCAACAACACCAAUGCAGGAGGCAACAUUUCAACUGAGAGAACUUCUGGGCUGGGGGUGUUAGAGGUGGAGCUCAUGUUCUUGCCCACUAAGGAACCUAAAGCCGUUCCUAGGUACAUCAUCAGAUUUUUGAUCUGAACUCAAAGGUAAAUUCUUAAAAAAGAGAUCCAGAUAUAAGGAAGUUCAGGAUGUAAUAUACUCAACCUACAGCAAUUCUUGAAGGUAAAUUCUUAAAAAAGAGACCCAGAUGUAAGGAAGUUCAGGAUGUAAUAUACUCAACCUACAGCAAUUCUUGAAAGUAAAUUCUUAAAAAAGAGACGCAGAUAUAAGGAAGUUCAGGGUGUAAUAUACUCAACCUACAACAAUUCUUAGUAUGUUACAGAGACAUGGUAAUACCAAAACAGUUGUUAAUGCAGAGGAGAAUUCCAAGGAAUACCUCCAGAAAAAGAAUAAAUACUAAUAAAAAAGAAGCAGGCCCCGAAGUUAGGCACAGUUUACAGUUAUUAGCAGUGAUAAUAAUAAUAAUAAAAUCAAGAAAAAACCUGAUGGAGUUGAAGCUGUAGGUGAGAUAGGAGGUGGUGGAGCAGGUGGAAGAUUAUUCAGUCGAUUAUUAGCAAAACUGUGAAAAAAAAGAUGCAGCAAUUUAAGAGACUGGCCUGAGAGUAUUAAAUAUAAAAAAAAUGGGAAAAAGCAGUGGUGGUGAUGGUCAGGAGUCAGAGGUGAUAGGGUGAGAGAAAAAUGAGAUAGCAUAGGAGAAAAACCUGAUAGGAGUUAAUACUGAAAAGGAACCAUUAACUGGAAUAUCACCUACUAGCUGAUUGUUUGAAAGAUCCCUGCAUCACAUAAUAUAACAUCUCACACAACUAAUAUGUUGUUCUAGAAUUUAAGGUUGAACUGGCUAAUGCGAAAAUAAAAAAAAAAUCUGACAGCGCCACUCACAGCACUUGCAGUGACUUAACGGUAGUUAAGGACCUAGGAAUUUGUCCAGACGAUUUGUUGUUUUUGAGACGCCUUUUCUACAGAAAGAAAGCAUUAAUUAUAUUGCAUAUUGAUGAGAUGACUAGAAAUGUAACAGAUAAAAAGUCAUGCUUAGUGAAUAAUAUUAGCACAGAUAUAAUUAAAAGAAAAAGUUUAUUGCACUAAAGAAACUAUUUCUAUAUCUAUAUAGCCCAUAUCAUCCAAGCAUAACUAGCUCAACAACUUUUUAACCCAAACCAAAUGGCCCCCAAAAGAUUAAGCUCCUGUAGCUAAUAAUAAUUGACUUGUAUCCUUAUAUGGGUUUUAAUAAUGACACUCACAUCAGAUGUAGGAUGGGUAUCACAGCCCAACCACUCAAAUUCUUGAUGUCCUCGUCAAGGCAACACAUCACAAUCACAAUUAACACCCACCCCACAAUACCAAGAUCUCACUAGCGCAAAAAUGAGAGCCCACAACGGGCUAGUUUUUGUGAGUUAUAUGAUCCACUGUGAGCCAGAAUGUCAUGGUUUUGUCCAGAAAAGGCAUCUCACAAGCGUUGGUAUAAGUCUCACAUAUACCCAACGAGGGAUUUGGGGGAUUACAAUGUCAUCACCUAGAAUUCACUUAGUUUAAUGUUUUCCUCCCGUUGGUUGUUACACUUGAUGUCCAAACAAGAUCAUGAAUAAAGAAGAGAAGAAAGGAAUACAACAGAGAACUUCGGAGUUAAUACCAACCACCACAGUGGAAGGGAUUUGGUAUUUUGGACCUUAGCUAGUCUUUGGUACCAUGAUGGUCCAUUUGCAAGUUCGUUAGAUAAAAGCUAUCCUUUCUGGAAGUUCACAACUAAACCAAUGGGUUUUUCAGCAAUCAAAAAGUCCUCUCAGUUCAGGGAAAGUGUCAUUGGUAGUUUUAGGUUUUUAUUCCUAACCUAAUAAUUUCAGCAGUCCUAAUCCAAUUAUGAUUAGCUAAGUCUAUGCAAAUACAUAUUAUUAUACCCUUUUUUUUAGAUUUAGUAGACUUCUAUAAUGAUGCAUACUGAUAAAUUCUUGGAGGGCUCUAAAGUUGUGAAAUUAAGAUUCCAUUUGAUAUUUUUGCUAUUUGCUUUUUAUUUUUUAAAAAUUUCUAAACAAAAGCAAAAGAUAAAACACAAUAUCAUAAUAGAUUUUAAAUGGACAAAAUAGCUUAAAAUGUGAAACCAAUUAUAAUAUAAUUGGUCUAUAUAGAAGUGGGGUCAUGCAUUUUGUCAUCUAAAAGAACUAUAUGUUUUGUCUACAAUCCUUCAAAUUUUUAUUUGCUUUUGCAUCUAAAUGCGCUUUUUGCUUUUAAAGCAAAUAGCCAAAAAGGAUUAACUAAACGGAGCCUAAAUAAUUCCUUCUUCUUCUCUGUAUUGCUAAAAUGUUCUGAGUUGGAGGAAGGGUUGAAAGACAUGAACUAAAUUUCAGUAUCCCAAUCAAUUCUGUCCUAUAAAAACCUACUAAAAGAACAUUCUGCAUGCGUAGGAAGAGAAGAGGAAAUACGCAACAUAACAUAUUAUAAAGCACAUACAUUUCUAAUAAUAAAACCAUUUACCAAUCCAUAGAUUUGGGAAUCUAUCGUUAGACAUUGACUUAGAGAGUCGCCAUAAAUUUUUUUUGUUUAGGUGCAAUUGGCCACCUAAAGAAUCUAUUCUUUUAAAGAACACCUAAACUUAAGGGUCCCUAAAAGAAUAAGUUCGGGUCUUUUAACCAAAACAAAAUUCAGGAGUACGGUUACGUGUGGAGAAAAUUAUAACAUCCUCAUAAUGCCCACCGAAGGAUGGUAUAAGCUUGAUUUUGUGUUAUCCGAUGAGCUUUAAAAAUUUUACAAAAUAAUUAACUAUUGAAAAUUAUUCUUAAUUAACUCCAAUACUUUUGGUUGAAAAUUAAGAAAAAUCUCCUCACCUCAAGAGUAUGCAAGAAAACUAUUAUUUCACUUGCAGAGACUCCAUCGUCAGAUUAUUUAACAUUAAAAAAAAUUUCAAGAAAAAAAAUAAAAUAAAAUAAAAUAAAGGAAUAAUGAUUUAGCUUUUGAUAUAAAUCAUUUUCUUUUCAUUUAAAAACCCAUUGCUUGUGUAUAAGAAAAUUUGAUAUUUUUAAUUUUUCCUUAAAGCGUUUGAAAAUUUUUUAUUUUAAAGAAAAUUGACACUUUCAACUUUUUCUUAAAAUAUAUAUAUUUUUUAAAUUUUAAUUUCGAGAAAAAUUGAUACUUUCAACUUUUCUCUAAAAUAUUUUUUUUAAACCUUUUUAUUUUCAAGGGAAAUUGAUACUUUCAACUUUAUCCCAAAAUACAUUUUGAAAAUUUUUAUUUUAGAAACUUUAUUUUUAAGAAAAAUUGAUGCUUUCAACUUUUUCCUAAAAAUAUAUUUUUUAACCUUUUUAUUUUUAAAGAAAAUUGAUGCUUUCAACUUUCCUCUAAAAACCUAUUUUUUAUUUUGGUGUUCAAAGGAAAUUGAUACAUUUAACUUUCCUUUAAAAAUAUUAUUUUAUUUUAUUUUCAAAAAAAAUUGGUACUUUCAACUUUUCUUUAAAAAUAUAUUUUUUUGAAAAUUUUAUUUUAGAAAAAUCAUUAAAAAGAAAAAUAAAAUAAAAUAAAACUUAAAAAAAUUAAGGAAUACCAAAUAAUUUUAAUUUAGAAAUAAUAAUAAUAAUAAUAAUAAAUAAAUAAAUAAAAUAAAUACAAAACCUUAACGCGGCUCGGCUCAGCGGUUGGGAUUCGACUUGGCUAUAGGAAGAAAAACGGCUUGAAAACACAGUUCGGGAGUACGCGGCUCGGCUCCAGGGGUCGACUGGCACUCAGGUCAAACGCGGUUACGAUUGGGUUGAGUUGCCCGAAUGAAAAGUGCGCGGAUCUUAGGACUUUUUAACGCCAAAAUGAUGUCAUUUUCAUGGUAUAAAAGGCUGAAAUUCGAUUUUUCCCUCAGAUGCCUCUAUUCCUUCUCUCUCUCAUCCCCUCUUUUCUCUUUUUCUCUUUCAAACAGAACUAGAAUCCAGUUGAAUUUUUAUCGAAUUCUGAAAAAAAAAAGUUAUAAUUUGGAAAAACACACUGGAAACUUCAAAUUUCGCCGAAAAGGUUGGUCGAAAUAUGGAAAUUUGGCAAAUUUUCCAAAAAAAAAUUUGCCAAAAAUUCCUAAAAUAUCUUAAAAUCACUUUUGAACCUUCUAAACACCCUUUUUUGUGUUUUUUUUUCUCUAUGUGUUUUCGAUGUAUUUUCUAUAUGUUCUAGCAUCUAUUUAUAGAGAUUGAUCAGAAGAGUUUCUGAUCAAUCCUAAUUUCAUCUGAGAUUGGGAUUCAAUCUUUGAAUCCAAUCUAAACUCUACCAGCCCCUAAAUUCAUAGCAAAAAAGUUUAUUCUAGAAAAAAAUCAUAUAUAAAAAGCAACAAUAAUUAAAACAAAAUUCAAAACAAAUAAACCAAAAUAAUAAUAAUAAUAAAAUAAAAAUGGGCCCAUCUUACCCAUUUGGACCAAACCCAAUUGCUCCGAGUCUAGACCAAAUUGGGUGUCUACAGUUGCCCCUCUUUGCAUAUUUUCUGUGAAACAUGAAUUGUACAAAGACAUAGACACCCAUUUAAGAUACAACUCGACUUUUUUUUUUUUUGUUAAAAUUUUGAUCAAGGCUCUUCUAAGUAGAGGCUCAACGACUUUAAAAAAAUAAACAAAGCUCCUCUAAACAGAGGCUCAAUAACUUUAAAAAAAUAAAUAAAACUCUUCUAAAUAGAGGCUCAACAACUUUGAAAAGAUAAAUUAAGCUCCUCUAAACAUAAGCUCAACGACUUUGAAAAAAAUAAACAAAACUCCUUUAAACAGAGGCUCAACAACUUAAAAAAUAAAUAAAUUGCUCCUCUAAACAGAGGCACCACCACUUUAGAAAAAUAAAUUGCUCAUCUAAACAGAGGCACCACAACUUUGAAAAAAUAAAUUGCAUCUUGACAAUCAUGUCCAGAAGAGUGAAAGAUCAUGUUUGAAGAAAUUUUAAAAAAUUAUGCCCAAGGGUCUUACAAAUCGAUCCUAAUACCGAGAGAUAUCCUUUUUCAAAAAUUAAAAUCUUACCUCACAAGCUUUUUUUCAAAUUUAAAACUUUUACAUCGAAAAAUUUUCACAUCUGUUUUCUCUAUGUGGGAUCUUGAAAUACCCCUACCUUUUGAAUUUAUGCACUAUACUUUCUUAAAUGCAGAAUAUGCUAUACGAAAUACAAUGCAUGCGAAAUUCAAUGCAUGCUAUGCAAAUGCUUGCUAAUUAAUUCCCAUUCAGUUGUGGUACUCAAGUUUCUCAAGCCCUUUUCUUAAGCCUCGAACCCUUUAUUCUUCGAUGAGCAAGUCAGCGUAACUCUCAAUCAUCACUUUCAUUUAAUUCUCACAUUCUUUCUACAAGAAAUCUCUUUCCAAAUUCAAUAUUCUUAUCAGGAACUAAACAUCUCAAAUUUGUCAUUAUCACUUUCGACCUUUCCAAUGUAAUGUAGAAAUCUUUAAUGCUAUUAUUCAUUUAUCAAUCAUUAUUUCAAACUUAAAAAGUAAGAAUGCAUUCACACAUUUCUUCCAUUGUAAGGUAUUAGGGAGAAAAGAAUAAGAAUAGUUAGGAAAUAGUCAACAAAAAUGACACAAAAAAUGAAGUAGAAUAUUUUUUAUUAGCAAAAAUGUUGGUAAACUUUGGCCAAGAAAACUUUGGCCAUUCGGAGUCCAUUUUCUUUUAUUAUUGUGUUGACUUGGAAGAAUUCUUUUUAAAACCAACUCGCCUUAUCGAAAACAACAAGAUUGAACUUUUUUGUUAUGAACUCUCAUCAUUCUUCUUUGAUAUAGCUCACUUUGGUACAAUGCUGUCAAUUUCUUUUCUUCUAUGAAAUUAACUGUUCAUAGCGUUCUUGAAUCCAUUUAGCCUCUUUCAGUUCAACUUCUUUUAGAAUCCUCAAGGAUGAGAUCUCUACUUCUACUGGUAAUACAGCUUCCAUCCCAUAAAUAAAAAAAUAUAAAAUUGCCCCAGUAGAGGUACGUACUGAUAUUCGAUAUGCAUGCAGUGCAAAUGAUAACUUCUCAUACCAAUCUUUAGAGGUCUCAAUCAUUUUCUUAAGAAUUUUUUUUAUAUUCUUGUUAGCUGCCUUCAUUGUCCUAUUCAUUUUCGAAUAGUAUGACAUCGAAUUAUGAUGCUUGAUAUUGUAUUGGGCACAUAUUUUUUGCAUCAUCUUACUAUUCAGAUUAUUAGCAUUAUCUAAAAUGAUUCUUUUCGACAAUCCAUAUCUGAAAAUGAUCUCUCUUUUUAUGAACUUGCAAAUCAUAGAUCGUGUUACAUUUGCAAAUGAUGUUGCCUCUACCCAUUUCAUGAAGUAAUCUAUUAUUACGAAAAUAAACCUAUGCCAAUUAGAAGCCUUUGGAGUAAUAAGACCAAUGAUAUCCAUACCCCACAUCAAGAAUGGCUAAGGUAGUGCCAAAACAUGUAAAACAGAUGACAGAGCAUGGAUCUUAUUAGCAUAUAUUUGGCAUUUGUGACAUUUAUGAGCAUAAUCAAUACAAUCGCUCUCUAUUGUCAACCAAUAGUACCCUGUUCUCAUGAUCUGUCUUGCCAUCAUAUGUUUACUAACAUGUCUCCCAUAUAUUUCAUCAUGUACCUCUUCAAUGAUUUUUUUGCCUCAAUUUUACGUAUUUAAACAAUACUUGAUCAUAAUUUCUUUUGUAUAGAACAUCUUCAUUCAAAAAAAAGCUCAUAGCUAAUCUUCGGAUGAUUAUUUUAUCAUUCUCCGUUGCAUGGACUAGGUAUUAUUGGUUCUUAAUAUACUGUAAUAUAUCAUAAAACCAAGGCUUCCCAUUCUUUUCUUCUUCUAAAUUAGAGUAAUGAGCUGGCAUAUCUUUGACAUUUAACUUGAUAGGUUGAAUGUCAAUAUUAUCAUUAAUUCAAAUCAUUGCAACCAUAAUAGCCAAGGUAUCGACAAUCAUAUUCUUCUCUUGAGGUAAAUGAUCAACCUGAAUAUCUUCAAACUUUUUUAUUAAUUUUAAAAUAUACUUAUGAUAUAAAACGAGUUUUGAAUCUCUCGUCUUCCAUUCUCCUUUCAAUUGAUAUAUAACUAGAGCAAAGUUUCUAAACACUUUUAAUUCUUUAACUUUUUUAUCUAUAGUAGCUUGUAAACCCAUAACACAUGCUUCAAAUUUAGUAAUGUUAUUUGUGCAAUUAAAAUUUAAUCUUGCUGUUAUAAGAUAGUAUUAUUCUUCUAAAAAAAUCAGAAUUACGCUAAUUCCAUGUCCCAAUGCAUUAGCAGCUCCAUCAAAGUACAUCUUCCAAUAUUUUUCUUCAUGCUCCCCCUUCUCUAAUUGGGAAUAACCAUAAAAUCUUCAUCGAAAAACUCUAAUCUCAUUGGUUUAUAUUCUUCAGUAGCACAAUUUAUGAAAAACUCAGUUAUAGCACUCUUUUUUUUUUUUUUUGGUUUACAUAUAUAAUAUCAUAUUUUGAGAGCAUUACUUGCCACCUAACAAUUCUCUUAGACAAAGAAGGCUUCUUGAAGAUGUAUUUAAUUAGAUUCAAUUUUACUAUAAGCUAAGUGAUGUGGUAAAGCAUAUAUUGUCUGAAUCUUUUGACAGUCCAAGCUAAUACAUAACAUAUUUUCUCUAAAGAAGAAUACUUGGACUCAUAUUCUAUGAAUUUUUUACUCAGAUAAUAAAUAGCUCACUCUUUUUUAUCGUAUUCAUCUUACUAUCCCAGCACACAUUCCAUUAAAUUCUCAUACACUGUCAGGUAUAAAAUUAAGGGUUUCUUUGAAACAGGUGACACCAACAUUAAGGGAUUUGACAGGUAUUACUUAAUUUUAUCAAAAGCCACUUGGCAUUUUUCGUUCCAUUUUCUAAGGUUAUUCUUACAGAGAAGCUUAAAAAUGGGGUCAUAUUUAUAAGUAAGCUGAAAUAUGAACUGCGAAAUGUAGUUCAAUCUUCCCAAAAAAUCUCAAACUUCUUUUGGUGUACUCAGAGGCGACAAAUUUUGAAUGGCUCGUAUUUUGUUUGGAUAGACUUCAAUCCCUCUUUCACUGACCAUAAAACCUAGUAACUUCUCUAACUUUACCCCGAAUAUGCACUUGAUUUGGGUUCAACUUAAGUUAAAAUUUUUUCAACCUUUCAAAUAACUUUUUAAGGUUGGUGACGUAAUCUUCAUUUUCAUGAGAUUUUGCAAUCAUAUUGUCUACAUACACCUCAAUCUCUUUAUGCAUCAUGUCAUGAAAAAGUGUCACCAUGGUCUUUGGUAUGUUGCCCCGACAUUCUUUAAACCAAAAGCCAUGACUUUGUAGCAAAAAGUUCUCCACAUGAUCACGAAAAUGAUCUUUUUCAUAUCAUCUACAGCCAUUUUUAUCUGAUUAUACCCUGAAAAUUCAUCCAUAAAAGGAAAACAUUAAAUGUUUAACCGUGUUAUCUACUAGUGUGUGAAUAUGAGGUAAAAAAAAGCUAUAUUUUGGGCUAGCCCUAUUUAAAUCAUGAUAGUCUAUGUCAUAACAGUUUUGAUAUCGUCAGACGUAAAGGAGUUUUAAAAUCGAAAUAAAUGAAAGAGUCACCACCAAUCUUUGUUAAGGUGUGAUUGAUCACCCAAAAACUUAUUUUUUUAAUAAAACUAUAAAAACGAGUUUCAAGUUUUUCAAAAAGAUAAAUUUUGAUCUACGAAAAAAAUCAGGUUGAAUUUGAGAGUUGAUUACGUGUAGAAAAAAAUUAACACCCUCACAAUGCCCAUAAAUUGAUAUCAUUUAACUAUGCAUUAUUUUCGGUGUUGGGUAAAAAUAGUUUCAAUUUAAAAUUUAACACUAAUUUCCUUCAUUUGAAAAAAUAAAAUUUUGUUAAAGCUCUUUAUUUAAGAAUAUUGAAAAAAUCUUAAAGUUAAAGAAUUAUUUUAAAAUUCUCCAACAUCUAGGCAAAAUUUAAAAUAACUCUUUUCGCUUAAGAUUUAACACGAUAAUCCUUAAAAUGAAAUAACAAUCUUUAUAGAAAAUAAUUGUUCGUAACUCUUCAACCUCUAGACAGAGUACCAAGAAUUAUUUCUUUCGAAAUGUUAUUUUUAUUUUAUUUUAUAAUAUCAAAAAAAUUUUUUUAAAAAAUGUAUUAUUCUUUUUUUUAUUUAUAAAAUAUUUUAUCAUCAAAUAGUAAAUAAAAAUUAAAGAGAGAAUAAUGCAGAUAAUUAUCGAUGAUAACACGCUAAUUUAUAUAUAUCCUAAUGAAUGUCAUGUAAAAUGAAAUGCAAUUUAAAAGUUGGGUUCUUAAGUAUAAUGAGACCACCUUGACUCUCCAACAUCUAGGCAGAGCUUAGGUGUGACUGUUUAUAUUUAAAAAUCUAAUUUACUAUUAUACUUUUUAUUUGUUAAUCUUAUUAUUAAUGUGAAUUAAGAACUCGUGUGAAAAAUUUAAUGAAGUGGAGUUUCCUAUAUACCCCAUCAUUUAGGUAGCAUUCGGGAACAAACCAUUUCAUGUGAGAUUUUCACAUGUAUCCUUAAAAUUUUGAAAUAGAUUUAGGAUAAGGUCUAGGGUUUAAGUUUAGGGUUUGGAGGUUUGGGGUUUAAUUUUAAGGUUUCAAUUUUUCAGUUUUAAAACUUAAGGUUUGGAUUUUAAGGUUUAAAGAAAACGCGAACCUUUCUAAAAAUCUCCAACAUCUAGACGGACUUUCGGAGCAAAUUCAAUUUUUAUAAUUUUUUAAAAAUUAAUUUAAGAAACUUAAUUUUUUUAUAAAAAUAUUUUUUAAAAAAAAAUUCUUUUUUUAUGAAAACUUAUUAUCAAAAAUAUUAUUAACUUAUUUAGUAUUUUUUUUAUAAUAAUAAUUCCUCAACAUCUACGCGAAAUUAUUAUUUUUAAAAUAUGAUUUAAUUUCCUCCAACAUCUAAGCAGAAAAAAUAAAAAAAUACUUUAUUAUUAUUAUUAUUUAAGCAUUUUUAAUAUUUUUUAGUUAUUAUCCCAUAUUAUUUUCAUUUUAUUAUUAUUAAAAAAAAUAAUUAAAUAUUUAUCCUAAUAAAUUAAAACAUUUAUCGUGCAUAAAUAUAAAAACUUAAAAUAACAAAAAUAAUAAUAUAUAAAAAAUUAAAAAUUAAAAAAAAAAAUUUUACUUGAAUCGGACCUGUCAACGGCCCGAUCAAUGCUGGUUUGAAUCGAUCUGACUGGUUCGAUAGUUCAAUCAGCGGUUCGGGCGAUCCAACGAUUCAGACCGGUUCGAUAGGUUCACUGGCGAUUCAUCUGAACCGGUUCAAGACUGGCUAAAGCGGAUCGUCGGGUUGAGUUACACAGACCCCGGGUCACGGGAACGCGUGGAUUCUCCCUGGUUCGAAACGGCAUCGUUUUGGGUUUUUUUUUACAUAAAGCCAAAGUUUUUUUUUUAGCUCAGUUUUCUCCUGUUCUCAAAAAAAAAAAAUUUCAGAACUCUAGAGAGAGCUCGGGCGAUCCACCGGUGAUCGACCGUCGGUGUCACGCUGUCGUGUCGAUCGCCGUCUGGGCCACUACCUAUGGUGGUCAUCGUUGGUCGAAAAACGUUAAAAUCCUCCAAGAAGCUCUGUUCGCCGUGAUCUUUCCAGAUCUGAUUUCCUCUUGGUCGAAAAUGCCCUCGAUCGACGUAGAUAGAGGUUUAAAGUUUUUUAUUUUUUUUAAAAAAAAUUGAAGUGGAUGAUGAUUUUUUAUUUUUGUAGGUAGCCGGUGCUGGGUUCCUCGCCACUUAGGUAAAGAUUAUGUGGCUUUGUUUUUGUUUCUCUAUUUGUGUGUUUAGGGAUCGUUUGCUUUCUGUUUGGGUUAGAGGUAGCAUUGUAGGGUACGUGGGAUGAGAGGGUGUUUGAUGUGGUUUUCUGGUAAUGGUUAAUGGUUUGAGUAUAGGUGAUAAGGGGUUUUGGGUAUCUGAGUUUGUGUUAGAGGAUAUGUCUAAGAGGAGAGAGUGUUUGAGGAUAGUGUGUCUGGUGGGAAAAAGCUAGGUGUUUGGUGCCAAAAGGGUGUCCGAGAAAGAGUCUAAAGGGAAAGAGUCUGGGAGUUUUAAAAAGCUUCAAAUAAAAGGAUAGAUGGUGGUCGUAAGCGUGGGAAGGGGGCUGUCUGGUCUGGUGGCUAGACAAGAGGCUGGUCAAAGGCUGGACAGAGGCAACAGCAACAUCGUACCAGCCUUCUGGUUUCUGUCUCUUUUUUUAUUAUAUUUUUUUACAUAUAUUGUAUUAUUAUUAUUAAAAUUAUUAAUAUUAAAUUGAAAUGAAAAUAGUAGACCCAAACAAAAUCAAUAUCUACAGUCUACACACAUUCUUACCUUUUCAUCUUUCUUAAAAAUUGGUACUAUAUUGGCUACCUACUCUGGAUACUUGAUCACUUGUAAAAAACCUACAUUAAACUGCUUCUUCACCUUUUUUUGAUCUUUAGUGGCAUUUCAAGCUUCAUUCACCUCUGUUUCUGUUAGACUGGCUUAUAUUCUAGCUUUAGAGGCAGUCUAUGCUAUACUAUCUCUGUACUCAGCUCUGACAUAUUCUGGUAGGACCAAGCAAACACAUCUAUAAAUUUUUAAAGUAGAUUUUUCAAACGUUACCUAUCUCCUGAUGAAAGUGAAAUGCCAAUUUUGACCUUUUUCCUAUUCUUCUCAUCUCUUAGAUUCACCAAGUUAGUUAUCUUCUAAUGAGGUUCAAUUGACUUACUUUUUUAUUCAAUCAAUCUCAUUAGGUCCGAAGGUAUAACAUACUCUUUAGAAUUAUCUUCAUUAUCAAGUUCAUCAGUGUUAAUUGAAUUUUCAAAAUUAACCUCUUGAUCGUUAUCAUAAUUAUCUUCUUGUUCAUUUAAAGACCUGAAAUUGAAUAAAAUAGGAGAUGUGGGCAAGAUGUAUUUGGAAAAUGGAAAAAUGGCAAUAAUGAAGGCACAAGAAAAAAUGAAUGAAAAUACAUCCUUCCUAAUUUUUAUUAAAAUAGUAAAAGAUAAAUGGCCCAAACAAAAAAGAUCACCCUAAUACCUUGAACAAUAGCUAUUAGAAUGUACAAUUACAUUGAAUUAAUCUCAAGGAUAAAAGGUAUUUCAAUGGUACUUUAAUUGUUCAGCUCAUAAUCUGGUGGACAAUGGCAUACCCAUCCUUUUUGUUCAAGCCUUGUUUUAUCUUCAAUAGCAUGAAUGGUUAACUGGGUAAAAACCUCUUCCAUACUUUCUUUUAUAUUUGGGUACAUGAAUCCUCUCAGUCUAAAAGUCUCGUACAAGUGUGGGAUGAUCAUUAAUCUUACUAUUUUAUCUGCUGGUCUUCUCUUGAUCUCCCAUUUUUUUGCUUCAUAGCUUAGACCUAGCCUUUCACUGUUGUCCAACACUGUUGGGGGCUUUCUUAUCCCCUGUAAAUUCUUGCCUAGCCGUACUCCUCGAUACUAGCCCUUAUUGAUGACUUGACAUAUUACUAUCUUUGAAAAUGGUUGAUUUUUAAAUCUUUCACCUACAGAGUUGACUAACUCGAAAGAUUGAUAAAAGCAUUCCAUCGCUUUCUCAGCAGUUUCCACAUAUAGGGCAUUCAAUGAUUGUGUCACUAGCAUGUCUUCCUCUCUAAAUACCAUUAGCAAUUGACCUUUUACAUUAAACUUGAUAUUUUGGUGUAAGGUAGAGGGCACAACACCUACCAUGUGAAUUUAUAACUUUCUUAGCAAACAGCUGUAAGAUGAAGAGAUAUCCAUCACUUGAAAUUUCACAUUAAAAGUGCACAUCUAAUUUACAAAGGCAUAUCGAUCUCUCAGAACUUUUUUUCCGGUCCCAUCAAAAGCUCACACAACCAUUUGAUUGUCCUUCAUAUAAGAGUAGUCGAUAAGUAGCCUUACCAAAAUUGACAUAGGCAUGACAUUAAUAGCAGAGUCAUUAUCAUUAAAGAGCUUAGCUAUGAUAUGGCUCUUAUAUUUGAUCGUGAUAUACAGAGCCUUGGCACUUCCCCUUCCCUCUGGAAGAAUCUCAUAAUCACUAAAUGAUAUAUAAUUUGGCAUAGCCAAAUUUUCGGGUAAAUGAUUCACAUAUUCAAUAGACACAUUAUGCGUCAUAUAUGCCUGGUUUAACACUUUCAAUAGAGCAUUUCGAUGUGGUUCUGAGUUCAAUAGCAAUGAUAAUAAUGAGAUUCGUAUUGGCAUUUUAUUCAAUUGUUCAACAACUAAAUAUUCACUAUGUUUUAUCAGUUUUAAAAAUUCAUAAGCUUCCUUUUCUGACAUUGGUUUCGGAUGAUCCUCCUUAGGUUCCAUUUCGGGGUUAUUUUGUUCUUCUCCCACCUUGGCUUUCUCUCUUCUAGCUUUUUCCAAUAUUUUUUGAUUGAAGCAUCUUUCACUUCGGGUAAUGCCUCUUACACCAGUUAUAUUGGAGGCAUCGAUCUUAGAAGCAUUCUCCGCUUGCCCCUGAAUUACUAUAUCACAGCCAUAUUUUUACGGUGCAUCUUUAUCAUCUUUAUAUGAGAAUGGAGUCAGAAUUUUAAAAGUUAUCGACCUGAGAAUGAGUUUGUUUAUGACAGACUUUGGCUUGUUCCUAUAGUGAAUUAUUACCGACUUUGAAAAUAAUUUUAUAAGCUUGUCAGUCAUAGAUGUUUCAACAUUUUUUGAGUCUUUUCUCUCUUCAUAGAGUUUAAUCUAGUAUGAAUCCAAGAGGUUUUGUACCUCUUGAUGAAACUACUCACAAGCUUCGAUAAAAUGACCAAUUAUCCCACUAUGAUAUUUAUAAUUAGUGCCUGCUAUAUAUCCCCACGACAACAGUAUGAACUUAUUAGUUGUAUCAUGUCAGCUUUUCACAAAGCAUCAAAUAACUGACUGAAAAGUGUCUUAAUAUCUGUAACUUUUCUCUUCAAAUGACGCUCAUGUUCCUUACUUAGAGCAUUCACAUGUGAUUAGAUAAAGGAUUACCACUAACAUUUGGUGUAACUACCCCUCCUGUAUCAAAGUUAAUCAUCCCAUCUUUGAUCAACCGUUGCACUUAAUGUUUCAAGAUAGUGUAUUUUUUUAUGGAAUGACCAACAAUCCCAUAGUUAUAGUCACAAUGAAAUGUGAGAUCAUACUACUUAGGGUAAGACAACUUGAGUGGCUUUAAUUUGCUAGGAGUAAUCAGAUGACUAUUAUAAAACUCACGAUAUAACUCUAUAUAAGUCAUGAAAAUUAGGUAAAAUACAAGCUUUUCGUGAGUAUUUCGUUGCUCUCGUAAUCCACCCAUUGGGUUAGCUGAACGGGUCUGAGGUCUUAAGGUAGGUUAAAUGUUAGGACUGUAUGUGGUAUUUUGAGGCCUAAAAAAAGGUUGAUAUAUUUGGGGAUAAGAUGAUUGUGAAAAUUGUUGGUAUAGGUAAAGAGAAGUGUUAUUCACAGCAGGAUAAUAUGGAAGGUAUCCUUAUGGUGGGUACGAUUGAUAACUCCUGAAUUAUUGUCUAUCAAAGCUCACGGCUUGAGUUUCAAUCUCUUUUUUCUUUGGGGCUCUUUUACUUAAUGCCUCUCUUUCUUUUAACUUACCAUUCUUAAUAGCACUCUCAAUAAUUUCUCUUGAAAUCAUUAUAUCGACAAAAUUCUUGGUUGUAUUCCUUAUCAUCUUUCAUAAUAAGAUGAUUUCAAAAUGCUAACGAACAAUACUAUAAUUUUUCUUUCAGUUAGAAAAGGUUGCACUUGAGAAGCUACAUCCAUCCACCUCUGCGCAUAUUCUUUAAAAGACUAAUUUACCUUUUUCUCCAUGUUCUGUAAAGAUAAACGAUCAAAAGCCAAAUCCAUGAUAUGUCGAUAUUGACUAAUGAAGUUAUGGGUCAUAUCGCUCUAAGAAUGGAUGCGAGUUCUAUCCACUUGUACAUACCACCUAGCAGCAAAACUUAUUAGGCUAUCUUAAAAAACAUGCAUUAAUAAGUUUUCAUUAUGGACAUUGUCUACCAUCUUCCGACAACACAUGGUGACAUGAAUUUUUAGGCACUUUGUACUAUCAUAUUGCUUAAAUUUUAGUACUUUGAACUUUGAUGAAAUGACCAUAUCUAGGACUAAGCACAACCCAGCAGCAUCGACAGAACCAUAAAAACUAAUUCCUUUUACAGCCCAUAACCUUUAUUCAAGCAUACUAAUCGUCGAAUCUUCAUGAGAUUCCACCACUUUUGAUUUUUUUUUCUUUUUUUUUCAAGUCAUCUAAAUCAAGAACUUGGAUCGAUUCUACUACCUUUUCAGUAAAGACAGGGUUCAUAUAGCUAUGGUAAUGCUCUGGGUUCAAAGCUGAUGGCAUUUCAGGGUAUACAAGAUAUGUAAACUGCUGUAACGAUAUAUCCUAUGUGGGCUAGACUUGUUGUAGACCAAAACCUGAAGGAUAUAGAGGGUCUUUUUAUGAUUGAGGGCCCUGUUGGCUUAUGUUCUCUUCUUUUCUUUUUUCUUUGUUCAACUUGUUAAGAACAUCCAAAAUCUUACUCAACUCAUUCUCAAUCUUUUCCUCUAUUUUUUCCAAUUUCUUAAAUCGAUGAAAAUUUUCUUGUUCAAUUUGUCUGACUCUGACUCUUGUGUUAUAUUUGUGGGUAGGAUUCUUACUGGAUGGAGCUAUCCUUAAACCUUAAAUAUCAUAUCUUAGAAUUAGCAAGUUUAUAUAACUAUCUUAUGGUUACUUUGUUAAAUUUAUUGAAUGAGAAUACAAUGAAUGAAAAUGUAUGCAUGAAAAGAACAUUUGCCUUAAGACAGUGUUUAACCAAAAGAUUUCAUUUAUUCCAAAGAACUUUUAUUUACAUAAAAUCUAUCAUCCUAGAGUUAUAACCAUAAAAUCGUUUGAUCUGCUCAUACUAAGCUUUGGCUUCCUCGAUGAAAUUUAGGAGACGUUGCCCAUGUUCUUCUACUGGAGCCACCACUUGUUUCAAUGCCUUACCCCAUCUACCUCUUUUUUACCCACAUACCUUUUUGUAAAUUUGAGACGUUAAGUGCUCAAUGUACUUCUACCUUCCUAGGUUUUCCUUUUUAUCACACCAAAAUGCUCUCUAACCAAUGCAGUAAUGUAGUCUUCUUGUUCAUUCAACCUUUGUUUCAACCUGCUUAAGUAGCUGUUCAAUAUGUUAUUUUUUAUCUGUAUUUAGGUACUUUUUUCCUCUAAUUCAACAUAUUAUUGUUUUAAUCGCUUAUUUUCAUCUGUCAACUCAGCAAUUGUUAUCUCUUUGGCUUUUACCUUCACACAUAACCAUUUAUGUUCUUGGUGCAGCUUCGCUAGAUCUUCAACAGCUGUCACAUUCUCUAAUGAUCUUGCAGACUUUAACUUCUUGUUUUUUAGCUCUAUCUUUCCACUGAUCUUUUACCUCUUGAAGCUUCUGAAUCUCUUGCUUUAGCCUAUCUUUUUCAGACUCGAAUUCUUUUGUCGUAAGCUUCAAUUCUGAUAGUGUUUCUUCAAGCUUUUCUCUUGUUGACGGUUGAAAGCUUUCAUAAGUGAAUGUCAUUUUCUGUCUUUAUCUUGCUCUCCAAACCAAAUACCCCUAAGUGAUCUUAUCAAUGAAUGGUCCAGGACUCACUUCACAGAAGUUUUUUCAUGCUUUAAUCAUCUCAUUGAUCCUCUGAAUUGUUUUUGGCUCACUGUAAGAAAAAUAUAAUUGACGAAGCUUAUGCGUCAUGGGAAUAAACUGUUCUACCCCAAACUGCCUCAUAACUAGAAAUGACGCAUAACUUGUUGCUCUCUAUAAACCCAAAAGUGAGACUACAGAGUUAUCUCUACAAUGAUACAGCAUAGAUUCACGAUUCAUCCAUGGGACUAACCCUCUUACUUCGGCACUUGUCAAUUUUUGUAAGAAAGCUACCUACUCUUUUUUAUACUUUUGUUCUAACCACCCACUUUUACAAAAUUCUUUGAUCGAAGCUCGAUUGCAGACAUAAAGCUUUGAGAAAAUACAUUUUCUCCACUCAAAGUGACUUUUCAUCCAUAAGUACAAUAACUAUAUGCAACCUAUAAAACGUCAUUUCAACGACUAACUCAAAGAUCUUAUAGUUUUUGCUAAUAUUACCAUUGAAGGGUUACAACCAUUGAUUACACUUUCGAACAAGUCAAUCACUGCUAUUUUAAUAUAACCUAAAACCUUUGAAAAUAUCACCAUUCCGUAUAUGACUAAGGCAAAUACAUCUAACCCCCGCUCUUCAUCAGCAUGUUGUAUUAAAAAAUCAUAAAAAAACUUUCAAGGUAGGCAAACCUGUUCUGGUUUUUUGUUUGUAUGAAAAUCCAUAAUCUCUUUGUCUAUCCCUAUGAGAUGAGCCAAAUUCUUACGAAAUCCUAACUUAUGUUUUUUUACAUAUAUCUUGUCAAGAGCCUUGAGGUGCAAACCCAACAAAGUCGAAUAUUCUUCGAUGAUUGGCGUCAUAUCAACUUCAUUGAAUAUGAAACACUUGUAUGUAGGAUCUCAGAAUUGCGCUACAACUCUAAUUAGUUGAUUGUCGACAUUUACUGCAAGAAGGUGUGGUAUAUGCAUAUGUCUCUAACAAAACUCCUCUUGUCUUGAUGCACUCAUCUUCUUCCAUAUAUCUAUCAAAUCUUUUAGAUUGUUUUGUUUGAGGAGGAUAGAUGUCUCUUAAGACAAGGUAAAAGUAUAACCGAUUGAUAAACAAUCCCUCAUCUUUAGUUGAAUCUUUUUUUGCUGGACCUUGACUUCGUUGGGUGACUCACAAGGAGCUAAUACAGACGAGAACAAACUAGUCGUUCUGUGGAGUCCAUGAAAAACUCGUUGUUGAAGACCAUCUUUCAAGCCAAUGUUCUUUAUGCAACUUUAUGAUAUAAAUAUAGAUCAUGCAAACAUAAAUAAGAGAAGAGGUUAGUACAUCAAAUAAAGAAAAAUAAAUAAAUAAAUAACUAAAUAAAUUAAAACGUCACACACAAUAAGAUGUAUGAAUCAUAUGCUUUUGAUCAAUUCUAAAGGGAAGGAGAUGGCUCUAUAUAUAGGUUGGCACUUAUAGGUUUCACUAUAUGUGAUUCGAUGUUAAAAUCUAAAGGUUUCCAAAUUGCUCCUGACAUUAUUAUCCAUUACAGACUAGUAAGGCACCCCAAUCCUUACCCAUUAUAGGCUACAAGUGAAAAAUAUUCAAUUUGAGUAAGAGUAUUUCGUUAGUCACUGCGGAGGCAUUAAAACCUCACGAAAGUAAUAGGCACUUUACUCUCUCCUAAAAGGACGAAGCUCGAGUAUAGAGUUAAUGUUAUGCACAUGCUUAUGAAUGACAGAAUUAACAAAGUAAAUAAAUAUGAAUGAAUAAAAAAUCUAUACAAAAGGUUUAAUUUUAUUAAGCUUUUAGAUAACACGAAUUUAUUUGCUGCCUGACUCUCGGAUGUCCCCAGUAGAGUCGUCAAACUUCAUAACAAAUAGAUCUGAAGAUCUAUCGCUAGACAUUGACUUAAAGAAUCGUCAUCAAUCUUUUUUAUUUAUGUGCAAUUACUCAUCUAAGAAAUUUAUCCUUUUAAAGAACCUCUAAGCUUAAGGGUCUCUAAAAAAAUAUGUUCGGAUCUAUUAACCAGAAUAUGAUUCGAGAGUACAAUUACCUGUGAAAAAAGUUAUAGCACCCUCACAACGCCCAUCGAAUGAUGGUACGAACUUGAUUUCGUGUUAUCCGAUAAGCCUUAAAAAUUUUAUCAAGUAAUUAACUAUUAAAAAUUAUUCUUAAUUAACUCCAAUAUUUUUGAUAAAAAAUUAAGAAAAAUCUCCUUCCUUCAAAAGUAUUCAAAAAAAAAACUAUUGUUUCACUUGCACAAACUCCAUCGUCAAAUUAUUUAACAUUAAAAAAAUUUCAAGAAAAAAAAAUAAAAUAAAAUAAAAAGAAAGAAAUAAUGAUUCAGCUUUUGAUAUAAAUCCUUUUCUUUUCAUUUAAAAACUCAUUGUUUGUGUACAAGAAAUAUUGAUACUUUCAACUUUUUUUUAAAGCAUUUGAAAAUUUUUUAUUUUAAAGAAAAUUGAUAGUUUCAACUUUUUCGUAAAAUAUUUUUUUUUGAAAUUUUAAUUUCAAAAAAAAUUAAUACUUUCAACUUUUCCUUAAAAUAUUUUUCUUGAUAAUUUUUAUUUUAUAAAUUUUAUUUUUAAAAAAAAUUGAUACUUUUAAGUUUUUUCAAAAAUAUUUUUUGAAAAUUUUUAUUUUAAAAACUUUAUUUUUAAAGAAAAUUGAUACUUUCAACUUUUUUCCAAAAGCCUAUUUUUUAUUUUGAUGUUCAAAAGAAAUUGAUACAUUCAACUUUCCUUCAAAAAUAUUUUUUUAUUUUAUUUUCAAGAAAAAUUGAUACUUUCAAUUUUUUCUCAAAAAUAUUUUUUUUGAAAAUUUUAUUUUAGAAAAAUCAUUAAAAAGAAAAAUAAAAAAAAUUUAAAUUUAAAAAAAAUAAGAAAUACCAAAUAAUUCUUAUUUAGAAAUAAUAAUAAUAAAUAAAUAAAUAAAACCUUAACGCGACCGGGAUUCGGCUCGGCUCCAAGAAAAAAAAUGGCUAAAAAAUGUCGCUUGAGAAUGCGCGACUCGGCUCUACUCGACUUCAAGGGUCGGCUGGCACUUGAGUCAGACGUGGGUUGCGAUCGUGUCGGGUUGCCCAAAUGAAAAAUGCGCGGAUCCUGGAUCUUUUUAACGCCAAAAUGACGUCAUUUUACACAAGUAUAAAAUGCUACAAUCCGAUUUUUCCCUCGGACACCUCCAUUCCUCCUUUCUCUCUCUUCUUUUUUUUUUCUCCUUCUCUCUCUAAUAGAACCUAGAAUCUGGUUGAGUUUUCAUCGGAUUUUGAAAAAAAAGAACCAAAAUAUGAAAAAACACGCCAGAAACUUCAAAAUUCAUCGAAAAAGUUGACUGAAAUCUAAAAAUUUCAAAAAAAUUUCAAAAAAAAAUUCAUUAAAAAUUCCUAAAAAAAUCUUAAAAUCACUUCUGAACCUUCUAAACACCUUUUUUGCGUUUCUUUUCUCUCUGUGUGUUUUCAAUGUAUUUUUUGUAUGUUCCAACAUUUAUUUAUAAGGAUUAAUCAAAAGAGUUUUUGAUCAAUCCUAAUUUCAUCUGAGAUUGAAAUUUAAUCUUUGAAUCCAAUCCAAACUCUACUAACUCCCAAAUUCAUUGUAAAAAAGUUUCUUCUAGAACAAAAAUCAUAUAUAAAAAGCAAUAAUAAUUAAAACAAAAUUAAGAACAAAUAAAUCAAAAAUAAUAAUAAUAAUAAUAAUAAUAAUAAUAAUAAUAAUAAUGAAAAUGGGCUCAUCUUACCCAUUUAAACUAAGUUCAAUUAAUCCAAACUUGGAUCAAAUUGAACGUCUACACAAUUCAGCAAGCAAUAUAUCAACACGUAAAAGCUGUCUACAUGUACUAAAACACAUGACUAGAAAGCAAGAGAACAAAGAAAUUAGAUAAAUUAACCACAUGAAAAUGUAAAAUGUGUUCGUACAGGAUACGUAGUUUUGGAAGCUUGCCCAGAGAAGUUGGAAUGUUCCCGGUUAAAGCAUUCAAGGAAAGAUCCAAGCUCACCAAGUUUAUCAAAUUUCCAAGCUCCUCUGGGAUUAU